UAGAAUUCAGAAGCCCAUAUUUUUCAAUGAAAUGGAUUUUGGUGCUUCACCUUGAAUUGUACUCAUCGUGAAUCCGCCCCAUCCCACCGUCUGCAUUGAGAGAUGAUGGAAAUCAGUACAGGUAGGUCAUUCAAUUAUUGCCUAUUGGCGCUUUACUAUAACGUCGUUAACUUACCAUUGACAUAUUGAAUCCUUAUUUAUUAUGUAGGCCAUGGGUUUUUCUGUUCAAGCUAUUAGAAAUAAUAACAUCAUUGUCUGCUCCUGGCAAGUAGCACAAAUGAAAUCAACGUUCAUAAACAGUGAACCAUUUAAAGUAACUGGUUCAUCAGAUCUUGAAUACAAAUUCUUCUAUCUUUUUUCUUUCUGAUAAAUCUUGAAAUACAAAUCUUAAUCUUAGUAGUAUAUGGUUGGUGCAGAACAUCAUGGGUAAAUUAAAUGACUAGCCAUCAGUCAAGAAGAUAAUGAAAUUAACAAAGUUAGUGAGGAUCGAACCAGCCAAAAGCAUUACUUAAUUAAGGAAGAAACAAAAGAUCAGAGCAGGUUCAUUUAAGUAAUAACAGCGACGGGCUGCUGGAUUAUUCAUCAUGUGAUCCAACCACAAAAACACAGAAACAACAACAACAGCAGCAGCUCAGCAACAUCGAUCUACACACAGUAACUCUCACCAAAUGAACUGAAAAGACAAUAUACGAUGAUAUAGAUCGAGCUACAUGAAUGGGCGGAUGAGAUCUGGUGGAUCAGUCGCUGUCGCUGCUGCUGCUGCUGUCAUGGCCGUCCUUCUUCUUAUCCUUCUUGUCCUUCUUCUUCUUCUUGUCUUUGUUCUUCUUCUCCCCUCCUUCGGCGUCGUGGUGGUCGCCGCCGCCGCUGAUUUUGUCCUUCAACUUGUCGACGAUGCCUUCCUUUUUGUCUUUGGAGUCGCCGGAGUGGUGAUCAUCUUUCUUCUUGUCCUUGCUGCUGUGAUCUUCCUGCUUCUUGUGAUCUUCUUUUUUGUCCUCAGAUCCUCCUCCCAUGUGGAGCUUCUCCUUUAUGUUUUCGAUGAUUCCUGCCAUCUUCUUUCUCUCUUUAUAUCUCUGUUUGCUUGAAUUGUAGAAGUUGUGCUGAGCAAGUGAAGCAGGCUCCCCAAUUUAUAGCCACACAACACGUGACUAUGCAGCGGCGAAUGCGCGGAGGGAGGAAGAUUACUUCCCCCACCAUUAUUGAGUAAAAAUAUCUAUUAGUUGAUAACGCGUCUUUCCUUUUCUUUUUUUUCCUUUUCUUUUUUUUCCUUUUCCUUUUUCUAAUCGCGUCUUUCAAACUUAUCACAACAGUACACGUGGAGUCAUGAUCUAGGACGGGGAAACCCGGCCCGUCAAACCCGGAAAUCCGGUAGUAUAUGUAAUAGGGCAGGUCUGGGUCCGGAAAAAGGGGUGGUCGGAUUCCAGAUUUACCGGGUUAAAUCCGAUAAAAUUAGACCCGGUCCAAACCCGUUUCAGCCUUCCAGUCUCCUAACCUUCAGGCUCCAGUUUCGGCUCAUUCCCCCACCCAUCACAAACCCAAAUCAGCCCAUACAUAGGAAAAUCGCUAUCCCUAUAUUCUUCUCCCCAGAUGGACCAGAGACAAGCAUGUAAGUUGUAGUGCAGGCUCCAGUGUUUGCAGUUCACAAUUCUGCCGCCUGGAGCACCGGGCGACAAAGGAGAAAAGGAGCGCCAACUGUCGAGCGACGAAGGAGAUGAGUCACAGGAGCCGACCGUCCACUAGGUUAUUCAUGAGAUAGAUACUAAUGCUAGAGAAUUAAAGAGACAAUUCGAAAAUGCAACUAUUGUGAAACAUGUCGCAAGACUUAAAGUGACUACAUUAUUGUGAACUUUGGACUUGAGGCUAUGUUUAUGUUUUUUUAGCUAGACUGAUUUUUUAUUUGUGUUUCAUCGGUGUGUUAUUAGAAAUAUAUAAAAUAAGAAGGAGUUACACUAUUCAUUAAAAAGCUUUUUAUAGUUACAUUUUAAAGUUUUUAGUUAAUUUUCAACACUUAUAGUUUCCUUCCUCAACCAUUUAGUUCAUUUUCUAUUUCAUUAGUUGUAUUAGUUUGCUUUAACUUUCUUAAUUAGUUAUUAGUUGUGGUCGAUGAUUUUAACGGAUUAGUCCGGCCCGGUUAAUCGUACUUCGGAUAACUCGAAAGCCCGAACUAAGAAAAAACUUUUAAUUAGGAGGGCCAAUGAUCAAGCGGUGAAGGAGAUGAUUCACAGGCACCGGCCGCCCACUAGGUUAUUCAUGUUAUGGUGUUUAUAGUUGGAUUAGGAGCUUCUCUAACUCUAAGUCUAACUUUUAUUUAAUUGAGAUAUUUUGUCCGGUGUCGUCCCAUAGCAUUUUUAUCACUUUACCGUAGUCAGAAUUUAAGGUGUUUCAGGAAUGUGGUUCCAAUUUGAUUAUGUGAUGUACUUGCACGAAAGAGAGCAUAUUAACUAGAGGUGUUCACUUGACACGUGAUCAUGGUAUCAAAACUCCAACAUGACAUUUUGCCAAAUAAAACCAUCACUUUGUACAGUUUGUUUGUGGAACUUAACAGGUCUUGUUACGCUUAUGAAUAGAAACGUGAACUUACAAUGUUGAAGAGAUUAUAUGACUAAGCGAAAAUAAUGAAACAUUGGUCGGGUAAUUUAGAGUUAUCCGUGCCACAUAGUGGACGGCGCCAUUACUUGAGCGGGAAACAUGAAUAAGAGAAACCAAAUGGAUAACGAAGCCUUAUGUCAGAGAUGGAUGAAUUGACAUUCCGAUAGAAUUUGUCCUACCCGUAUGUCAGGAUGAAUUGAUAAGCCGAACUGUUGAGUCUGAAUGGAUGACGAAGCCUUCCAGAUAUCAGAUUUAUGCAACAAGUAAGGCUUGUCGAAAUGUUAGGAACUCAAUAAGUAAAGGGUUCGUAUAGUUAGGAAAUACUUGUGUUGUACCCGAGAAAAGAGUGUCGCAUCUCCGUCGAACCAUAAGACUGAUUGCUCCAAAUUAACGGAUAGAAUCCACGACACGAACAGCAGCGUCCACAUGAACAAUCCAAACUUCAUAAGGAGGGAAGGGCUGAGGCGCUGCAGCAGAGAUUAUAUGCUGAGGACGAGAUUGAAGGUGAGCUUUGGAUGUCAUGUGUUGAACUGCUUCCGACCAUUGGAUGCUAAAUUGACAGUACAAACAUUCAAUCAUUCGUUGGAGAUUGUCCAAAUUUCUGGAAAUUAGUGCUUCACAAAUCGGGAGAGCUCCUGAAAAUAACUUUUUGUUGGGUGCUAUUGGGCCUUCUCACCCUAAAAGCUAGCUCAAAGGGCGAGGCUUUCCCUCACACUUAUAAACAACACCCAGCCCGUUUCACUCUCCGAUGUGGGAUAACCCAACAACCUACAUCGGUCUCUCGAUAGGCAUUACCCAUCUACUGGUUCUGACCGGAUCACCAUCCGUCCUUUGGACCGGAUCCCGGGAGGUGUUGUCAACCUAGGCUCUAAUACCACUGUUGGGUGCUAUUGGGCAUUCUCACCCCAAAAGCUAGCUCAAAGGUGAGGCUUUCCCUCAUACUUAUAAACAACACCCACCCCUUCCACUCUCCGAUGUGGGAUAACCCAACACUUCGAAAUGAAAUAAUGCAAUUUUGGUUGGAUGGUGAGUGACCAAAUGAUCUCCCAAAGAGCAUAAUCAACCAUAGAUGGACCGGCCUUCACAUGAAGAUGAUUAUUGCAAUUUGAAAAGCUCAUCAUAUAUCCCGAGGAAGCAGAAUAAUAGCCGGAGCAAGAAUGAAUCCAUACCCAACAAUCUGAUUGAGGCGUUUGAGGAAGUGUUAUAGACAGAAUUGAAUCAACCGAUGCAGGUGAGAAGUAUAUAGAGAGUAGAUCACGAGUCCACCACCACCGACGAUUAAAUCAGAAACUAGAGUGGGCAAUCGGAGUCAGUGGUCAUGGGACUGGCGCUUGAGGUGGAAUCAUCGAUAGCCAAUUCGCUGAAAUAGGAAUGGUUGAACCCGAGCCAAUCAACCAACGCCCACCAUCAAUCAACAGAUCUCUUCCGAAAAGCAUUCCUGGCCAUCCACAGCUCAGAUUGGAGCCUUUGAUCGUUGUUAAAAUAGUUGUCGUGGGAAAGUAUCUCCCUUUCAGGACUUGAAAGACGAGAAGAGAAGGUGAAUUGUUAAGACGCCAGCACAAACCAGCAAGGAGAGAUUGAUUUAUAGAUUGGAAAUCUCGAAAACCUAACCCUCCAUCCAACUUUGGCUUACAUAAGUAGUGCUAGGAUUUCGAAUGAAUCGGACGAGUCGAGUGGGUUGCACGCUACCAAUAUCUUGCAAUUUGCUUAUUUAGACGUAGAGAGAGAGUCUCAUGGAAUUUAACAUCGACAGUGCAUAAUAAGGAAUAGCUGCAAUAAUAGAUUUAAUUAGAACUUCCAUACCGGUUGGAGACAGACAUUUUUCUUUCCAACCUUGCAAGACCUUUGCGACCCGAUCGUCGAUAAAUUAAAGCUAUAAACCCUUGAGCAUUCAAUGUGAAUUGGGAGUCCAAGAUAUUUGUCACAUUGACCAACUUGUGCAAUUUGGAGUGAGCUGCUGAAAUAUUCCUGCAAAUAAACCGGAGUAUUCGAACUGAAAAAUAUUGCAGACUUUGUGAGAUCACUUUCUGACCACUCAAAGCCUGAUAAGAUUGUAGCAAUGAUCUGAGACUUAAGCAUUCACUAGAUGAAGUUCGCAAGAACAAAAAGGUAUCAUCAGCGAAUAGAAUAUGAGAUAAGCAUGGACAAUGUUUGUUGAGGCGAAUAGGAUUGAGCUGCUGUGUAUUUAAAGCGUUAUGGAGAAGAAAUAUAAAGCCUUCAGUGCAUAAAGUAACUAGAACUGGUGAUAACGGGUCUCCUUGACGGAGUUCUCGUCGUGAUGGAGUAAAAGUAUGUGAAGGAUUUCCGUUAACUAAAACGGGAAAGGAAGCGGUAGAAAUAAAUUCCCUAAUCCAACAAUUCCACUUGGAAUCAAAACCGAGUCGGUCCAUAAUAGUGAAGAGGUAUGACCAUUCAACACAAUCAUUAGCUUUCUCCAUAUAUAAUUUAAGAGCCAUGAAAUAUUGUUUCCCGGUUUUCUUACAUUUAAGAUAAUGCAUAAUUUCAUGGACCACUAUAACAUUGUCAGAAAUUGACCUUUCUUGAAUGAAGCCAUUUUGAGUAGAACUAAUAAUGGAAGGAGAAUGGAUGAUAGUCGACCUACGAGCAAUUUCGAGAUAAUUUUGUAAACCAUUGGACAUGGUCAUAUAGGUCUGAUUUGAUGCAUGGAAGUAGCUGUAGUGACUUUAGGGAUCAAGGUCAACCACGUAUGAUUGACACUAUGUAAGAUUCGGAAUGAAUGGAAAAAAACUCUAAUAGCACCGCACACAUCUGGUCCGAUAAUAGACCAGAAAUGUUAAUAAAAACCAGCUGAAACCUAUCAAACAUGGAUAUUUUGAGGCUCCUAUUGAGAAAACUGUUUUAGGAACAUUUGAGUCAGAGAAAGGCCUUGUCAAUGCCGCAUUCAUUGCAGUUGUAAUGCGUAGGGAUCCAAGGUUAAGAUCAUCCCAAAUAUUUGGUUGAGGGUUGGAUGGUAGGUCAGACAAAAAUUUUGUGUUCCUAUCACCAAAAAUCAUCCAGCCAUCACAGCAUUUUUGUAGCUAAUAACGACUUUCAAGAUCACAAGCAGUGUGGAGUUUGCAUUCUAAGGGUAUAAUUCGAUCCCACGGAGUUGGUGAAAUGUCUCUAAUAGCUGAGAUUGCAUCUUUGAGUUCUCUGAUUUGACGAGCCAAAUUAGAGACCCCUGAUUUUUGCCAAGAGUCUAAAAAGUGAUGAAGUAGUUUAAGUUUUUCACGAGAAACAAACACGCAAGAACCAGGCACAGAAAUGGACCAAGCCGCUUAAACUAGUCCUGUGGUCUCAAAAUUAUAAGCCAUCUAUUAUCGAAUUUGAAUGUUCGAGUAGAUGGUCUUUGGAUCGAUGGUGAAAGAUCAAGGAGAAUUGCACGAUGAUCAUAUUCAAGAUCCGUGAGAUGGGAGAUCCUAUCAUUGAGAUAAGAAGUUACCAACUCUAGACAAAGCAGAAAGCGAUCUAGUAUAGAUUGGAUGAGUAAAUUUUGAUCUACGCUUCUGUUUGACCAAGUGAAAAUGGUACAUGUGUAUUCAGUGUCGGAAAGAACGACAUCAUUAAUGAAUAUUCUGAACCUUGAAACCAGAGUUGAUCUAAUGGGGAGCCCCCCUGAUUUCUCCGUAUUGUACAUGACACAAUUGAAGUCACCAAAAAUGAUAAUUGGAUGACUCAUUUGUCGUACCUAUGCUAAAAUUUCAUCAAAUUGACCAACUCCAAUAGAGGAAUCCCAAGAGAGAUAUACACCAACACAAAUAAACACUGGAUUAUCAGGCAUAGUUGUCUGAACCAUAAUACAAAAACUAGUCUAAAAUAACAUAGUAAUAGAGACACUAGAAUGCCAAGUGCAGACAAGUCCACCUACAUUUUCACAUGAGCACUCGAUAAUAAUAGAGUUACCAGAUUGGUAGCCUAUUGAACGAAGUAAUCGUACCACACCAUCAGAAAAAUAUUUGGUUUCAGAGAGAAACAAAAGACGUGGAUGGUAUCUGGUACGAAGACUGUGAAGUGUAUCCCUAAUGAGGGGGGCACCGAUACCUCGACAGUUCCAGGCAACGGUGGUCUUCAUUCCGGCUCCGGGGCCUGUCCAGGUGAUCCCCCUCCACCAUUGAUGUAGAUAAAGUUGCGGAGAUGGAAAUCAUGUCGGGAUCACCAUCCAACAUAUCAUCCGGAAGUAGUUCUAAGUCAAGAGUAUGAGGUGGGAAAUCAUCCACAGUCAAAGGUAAGGCUAACUUUUAUUUCUUAGGCAUAGACUCAGAAUCAAUCCCAUCAUCCUCAUCUCCCAGAUACACACGGUCUUGCUUCUUGUCAAUGAUCAUGAGGUCUUGCAUUCCUCAACAGCACGGAUUAACACAUAGACUAUUGUUAAGAAAAGGAUCAUCAAAGUAGGGAGGAACACAGCAACAGAAAGCAGAUGGACUACACCAAAAUAAGCACAAGUUAUGUUUUAAUAAAGGUUUAAAAGGAGGUCCAUGACUUAAAGCCGUAAGGGAAGAGGAAUAUUGAAGAAUAACUGAUAAAGGAGUAGUUGUUACAAAGCAACAGAUUGGAGCUAUUUUAGAUGUAAUGAUAGUACCAGUGGAAGGAAGCACAUUCACACUAGGCAUGGCAGAACUACGGUCCUGACCUGUUGAAUUCGAGCCUGGAUGUUCCGAGUUUCCUUCAGUCGAGUCAUCAAUAGAGACGUAUGUGUGGAAGAUUGAAGGUAAAGGCUUCAAGUAUUUAUUCUUUUGCUUCGAUUUCGAAGCCUCAGUGAAAUUUCGUUGGGAACCAAAUUCCCAUACGGCGUUGCUAACAUCUAAUCACCUUGCUCUUGCAGAUUCCAUGGGAGCAUAGCCGAAUAAGGACAAUGACCAUGUCUGUGUCCCAGGAGGCCACAAAUGAAACAAACAGUAGGGAUAUCCUCAUACCUCAAUCUAACCCACAAAGGAUUUGCUCCGCCAAAACUGGCUCGGAUAUGUCCUUGCAAGCUCCAAAGCAAGUCGAUUUUCACGAUGUAUUUGACAAAAUGGUGUCCCUGCCCAUCAGAGCGAGCAGAGAAAACAUUCGAAUCAAUGAGAGUGCCUAAGGGAAGAAAAUGCGAGAUCAAAAAGUCACAGUAUUGCAAUGUUCCGGCAGGUUCUUGAGUUGGAUCGUAAGUGGCAUACAGCAUAGACGAUCAAAAAGAUCCUGCGAUGGAGUCUCCCAAGGAACAAGAUGCAUGAUUGCACUCUUAUAAGCCCAAUGCUAUUUUUCGAAGACACUAGCCUUGUCCUCUGUUGAAUAAAGGUAAUUUGCAAUAUGGAAUUACCUUUAAAAAUCUAGAGAUUUCCUACUCUAUAAAUCUCUCUAAAAGUAUCUAUCAAUCACUCAACUACCUAAUUAAAUGUUGUGACUAAUUAAAAAACUAAAAAUUCCUACAACCACAUUCUAAGACGGUUAUGUGGUCUUCCAACAAAAAUCUUCAUUAUUAUAAUCAAUAUGUAGUAGUAUAAAUAUGUGUUGAGUGGAGAUGUAGAGAAGUGUAGAGAACAAAACAAAAAAAAGAGGAAGUAGAGAAUGCUCGGCGCGGAGUUUUAAAGGUCCAAGUAACCAAAUUAUAAUAUCCAUAAAAUUGAGUGAUUAAUUGAGUGAGUUAUCAAAAUACUAUCUUUUCUAUCCUAAAUUCCGCUACAUUUCCGCUAGCACCUCAAAAAAGCUGAGUAUGCUCUUUGGUUCCGGUUUUAAAAACUUAUCUUCCACAUUAGAAAAGUUACACUUUAGUACUUUGAUAACCAUAUUAUAAUCUACCCUCACAAAACCCUCUCAAAAACGCUACCAAAAGAAUCCCCGCAAAAUCCUAUGGCAGCACCAUCGUCAAGUUCCAUGUUCGCCAACUCUCCAAAUCAAAUAUCAAUUUUUGAUGGAGAAUUGUACGAAUACUGGAAAGUACAAAUGGAGACUAUCUUCAUAAAUAUUCAAAAGCACAUGACGAAGCUUAUGGGAUCACUUGUAGCUCACAAGAAGAGAUUGAGCCGUUUUACCAACCAACAACUCGAGCAAACUUUUCAUUCUAAGGUUGACAUCAAAGGAGAUAAAUCAUCAAACCAGGAGCAAAACCGCAGAGGGGGUAAUUUUUAGAAAAAGGGAGGAAAACCAAAUUUCAAGAAAAACAACAACUGGAGCCAGAAUCAGAAAUAAACAAACAACUCCAAAGACAGAUACAAAAUUUGCAAAAAAUCUAACCAUGCUACCAAAGAAUGCAGGUUUAGGUGUACCAAGUGUAAUAUUCAAAAGCACUCUCAACAAGAUUGCUGGUUCCAGGACAAGAAAGAAGAAGGCGAAUCAAGUUUCACACAGAAGGACGAAGAAAAAAUGGUCGCAUACACUUGCUUCAAAGCCGAACAAAAAUCUCAACUUUCAUGGGUGGUGGACAACGGUUGCAGUAAUCACAUGACUGGAGAUCGGGAGUCCUUCACCGAGAUGAUUGAUACAUAUAAGUCCCACGUGAAGAUUGGAGACGGUAAAAAGCUGGAAGUUGAAAGAAAGGGUACAAUCAUCGUACAAGGAAAGGGGGUGACAAAACUCUAAUCCAAGAAGUUUUGUACGUUCCUGAAUUAGCUCAAAAUCUUCUAAGUGUUGGAAAACUAAUGCUUAAAAAUUACAAGCUAUUGUUUGAUAAUGGGGAAUGUGAGAUUACCAAAAAAAUCCAACAACUCGAAGGUGGCAAAAAUUCUAAUGACUUUCAACAGGAUAUUUCGUCUCACAAUGGCAACGAAUGAACCAUUAGCAAUGAAGAGCCAAAGCAUGGAUGAAUCUUUCCUAUGGCAUCUCCGAUAUGGACACCUGAACUACAAAGGUCACAAACUGUUGAAGCAUAAAAAUAUGGUUGUUGGUCUUCCCCAAAUCAACAAAGAAGAUAAGGUAUGUGAAUGAUGCAUAUAUGGCAAAAUGCAUCGCUUGCCAUUUCCAAAAACUACUUGGAGAGCAAAAGCACCACUAGAGUUGGUACAAACUGAUAUUUACGGACCAACUAGAACAACAUCCAUAGGUGGGAAGAGAUACUUUCUACUAUUUAUGGAUGAUAAUACUAGAAUAAUGUGGGUAUUCUUUCUUGAGCCAAAGUUAGAAGAUUUCUCCAAGUUCCUUCAAUUCAAAGCAGCAGCUGAGAAGGAAAGCGUGCAUCAAAUCAAAACACUCCGAACAUAUCACGGUGAAGAGUCAUCUACAAACCGUUUAUGGAGUACUGUCGCACCAACGGAAUCAAGAGGCGGCUGACAGUGUGGUACACACCACAACAAAAUGGCGUAGCAGAACGAAAGAAUCAUACAGUUGUGGAGAUGUCAAGAAGCAUGAUGACUGCUAAAAAAAUUCCCAACCAACUAUGGCCGAAACUAUCAAUACAACAAUCUACAUCCUCAACAGAUCACCAACAAAAGUAGUGAAGAAUAAAACAUCUUAUCAAACAUGGCACCACAAAAGGCCGCAAGUGGAUUACCUCAAAGUAUUUGGUUGUAUACAUAUGCACACAUCUCUAUCCCAAAUCACGACAAGUUCGACCAGAAGGGAGAGAAGCUCAUCUUCAUCGGAUAUAAUGACGAAUCCAAAGGCUAUAGACUCUGCAAUCCAUUAAAGAAUGAGGUGGUGAUUUCACGAGGCGUUAUCUUCGAUUGGAGCUAGGAAACUCAGGAUACUCAACCAACCUCCAUCAACAAAUGAGAUCCUAGAGAAUCCAACAACUACACCAACAACACCAAAUGAGGCGGAUCAAAAUCCAAGCCAAGGAAGAAGUCCAACGAGAGACAACUUCAGAGUCAUCGUGAUAGAUUCAGACUCACCUCCAUUAAAGGUUAGAUCCUUAACAGAAAUUUAUGAAUCAAGCCACGUAGCAUAAUUUUCUUGUGAACCAUAUACAUUUGAAGAAGCAGCAAAAGGCAAAGUAUGGACAUAAGUAAUGGACACGGAGAUCUCAAUGAUCGAGAAGAACAAGACUUGGGAGCUCGUGGACAAACCAAAAGAUUAGCCGAUCAUAGGAAAAUGGAUCUACAAAACCAAAUUUAACGAAAAAGGUUCCAUCCAGAAGCACAAAGCGAGAUUGGUGACAAAAGGCUAUUCACAAGAGUCUUGCAUCGACUUUCACGAAACCUACGCACUAGUAGUGCGGAUGGAGACAAUCAUAACAGUCAUGGCACUAGCAGCUCAAAUGGAGUUACCAAUAUUCCAGCUAGACAUCAUGACAGAAUUCCUCAACGGAACACUAAAAGAAGAAGUCUAUGUGGAACAACCACUAAAAGAACAAGUCCAUCGACUCAAAAAGGCACACUACGGACUCAAACAAGCACCAUGAGCGUGGAACACCAGAAUUGAUCAAUACUUUCAAGACAACAGAUUCCAAAGAAGUCCAAGUGAAGCAUCUCUCUACAUCAAAAAGGGAGAAAACAAAAACUUUUUUAUUUUUUGCUUAUAUGUUAAUGACUUAAUCAAUAUAGGCACCAAGUCCAUAAAUGAUUGAAGAACUCAAAAGGACAAUGAUGUCAGAGUUCGAGAAGACAGACUUUGGACUCAUGAAGUAUUUUCUGAAAAUUCAAGUGAAGUAGAAACCUGGAGAAAUAUUCAUCUCUCAAGAGUAGUAUACUGAAGACAUGUUAAAGAGAUUUCACAUGGCAUCGUGCAAGCCCAUAGCGUUGAAGAGAUUUCAAAUGGCAUCGUGCAAGCCCAUAGCAACACCAAUGGCGUUGAACGAGAAAUUGCAAUAAAAUGAUGGAGCAGAAAAAGUUGACGGAAAAGUCUACAGAAGCCUAUUCUGAUCGCUCAUAUAUCUGACACAAACAAGAACAUAUAUAUGUCACUCAGUAAGUCUCAUUUCAAGAUUUAUGAAUGAGCCUAGCAAACUUCAUUUUGCAGUAGUAAAGAGAAUCCUAAGAUACCUCCAAGGCAUUAAACAAUUGAGCCUAAGGGACAAGAAAGAAGAAGGGAGCAAGCCUAUCGGAUACACCGACAGUGACUGGGCAGGAUCUUUAGAGGACCGAAAGAGUACAUCUGGUUAUAUAUUUUGCCUAGGUACAAAACCUAUUUUCUGGAGCUCAAAGAAGCAGAAGACUGUGGCAUUAUCAUCAGCGGAAGCAGAAUAUAUUCCAGCUACAGAUGCAGCAUGCGAGACAGUAUUGCUAAAAAGAUUAAUUGAAGACUUGCAAUAAGGUGAUAAUGAACCAACUAUUAUUUAUUGCGACAACAUGUCAACCAUAGCCAUUAGGAAGAAUCCAGUAUUUCACGCAAGGUCGAAACAUAUCGAGUUACGACACCAUUUCAUACGACAUCUAGUCAACAACGGAGAAAUCCAAAUAAAAUUAAUCAACACCGAUGAUCAACCAGCAGAUAUCGUGACAAAGGCAGUUACAAAUGAUAAACUCGAAAAGUUCAAACACCUAUUUCAAAUUGCAAAUUAAGAGGAGGUGUUGAAUAAAGGUAAUUUGCCAUAUGGAAUUACCUUUUACAAUCUAGAGAUUUCUUACUUAAGAAAUCUCUUUAAAAAUAUCUACCAAUCACUUAACUACCUAAUUAAAUGUUGUGACUAAUUAAAAAACUUAAAAUUCCUACAACCGCAUACUAAGACGGUUAUGUGGUCUUCCAAUAAAAUUAUUUAUUAUUAUAAUCAUUAUGUAGUAGUAUAAAUAUGUGUUGAAUGGAGAUAUAGAGAAUGGUAAAAAAACAAAACAAAUAAGAAAGAAGAAGUAGAGAGUGUUCGGUGAGCAGUUUGAAUGGUUCAAGUGACCAAAUUGCAAUAUUCAUAUAAUUAAGUGAUUAAUCGAGUGAGUUAUCAAAAUACUAUCUUUUCGAUCCUAAAUUCCGCUACAUUUUUGUUAAAGCCCCAACAUCCUUCUCAUCAGCGACCUGAAUAAGACCAUAAGCCACUUCAAAAAUUUGUAUCGAAUGUUGACAUAGCCUCUAAAGGCGUGCCAUAGCUUGAAGAACCGUGUUUAACGGUUUGGGCAGACUCCAGAAUAUUCUGCCGAUGAGGCUCAGAUCCGUCGCAGCACGCAGAUCAUCCUCGUUAUCAGAGAAAUCAACUGUGAAACCACCGCGCACUACAUUAUCUGGAAUUGGAUCCAUGAGAACAACAGGAGAAGAGUAAUGAUAAGAGAUUAGAUUGAUAGAAUGAAACUCAAGAUUGGAGCGAAGAAAACCUAAUAAUAGGGUAUCUGAUAUUAUACCCAAUCAUAUGUUAGUCCCAGCCACUUGGAAGAAAUAGUAAAGAAAUGGGGAGGAGAUGGGAAUUGUAAUUGCACCAGGAAGUUAGGUGCUCUUCUCAACUACAUCUAAUCAAUUCUAUCUCCCAUCUUAAUUGAUAUAUAAUAAGCCAAAUAUUGGCUUCAUUUCUCAACCCUCACCAAUCACGCUUCCUUUUCUAUCUUUGUACGUUUAUCACUCUCCCUUUGUGUAGUGUACUUGUCUUCUUUAUUUGUAACAAUUGAAAGACAUUUCUUUUAAUUGUUGGGUAGAUAGGUGAGCGGUAGAAAGUCCCGAAAAAUGUUUUACCGUGGUAGGAAUAUUUUCUUGUGAGCAAUAAAAUAGUGAGUAGUUGUUUCAGGGUUGGAAAACACAUGAGAGACACAAUUUUUGGAUCGACUCGGGUCACCUUGUAGCUACGUUGUCAUAUUGAAGAAGUGCUCGAAGCUGUCACUGCUGCCGUAGAUGUACUCUCCGCAUUGGAGGGGAACUACGUUAAUCCCUGUGUUAUUUACUUACUGUUUUGUGAUUGGCGAUUUCGAGAAUAUUCGUUGUAUAUUACAUUAUUAAUAUUUCCACAGUAAAUUGGUCUAAGGAGGUUGGCUUCAUUAUUAUGGUAUUGCAGUGGUAAUCACCCAUCCAUAGUGAUUUUAAGUGUUGCGGACUACUGCCACUUCCAACCUGUUCGGGAAAUAUUUACGGUGUGUGGUUCAUUAGUGCAAUAUAUUUAUUCUAUUCUCGUCUGUUGCGCCCCAACAGUGGUAUCAGAGCACGGUUCAAUAUAGAGGCAACGCCAAGCAAGAUGGUUAGUUUGAACGGUACAAACUUUCAUAUUUGGAGAAGCAAGAUGAAGGAUCUCCUGUUGAUGAAAGAUUUGGAUCAACCGUUGUCAUCGUCCACUAAGCCAGCCGCUAAGAGUGACGGGGAAUGGAAGCGAGAGCACGAGAAGGCGUGUAGUUAUAAUGGAAGCGAGAGCACGAGAAGGCGUGUAGUUAUAUUCGACACCAUGUCGAUGAUAAUGUACACAACCACAUCGCUGGAGAGACGGAUGCAUUGAAGCUUUGGAAAAAGCUGGAGGGGCUUUAUACUUCAAAGACUGGCAACAACAAACUUUUUUAUCUUAUGAAGAUGGUGCAUAUGAGAUACAAAGAGGGCACUUCCAUUCCAAAUCACUUGAACGACGUUCAAGGGAUCAUUGACCAGUUGUCGGGAAUGAACUUAAAACUCGAAGAUGAGGUGACGGCUCUUUUGAUUCUGGCAUCCCUACCAGAAUCAUGGGAAACCUUGAAGAUUGCAAUCACGAGCUCUGCUGCAGAUGGUGUUGUCACCAUGGAGGAUGUCAAGAGCGGAAUUCUCAACGAGGAGAUGAGAAUGAGAAGAAGAUCUCAAAUAGCCUCUUCCUUAUCAUCACAGUCAGACGUUCUAGCUGUGGAUGGGAGAGGAAGGAGUGAGUCGAGAGGCUCAAUGAAGCAAGCAAAGACCCAAGUGAAGUCUAACAAGUAUGCAAACAUCACUUGUCACAAUUGCAAGCAGAAGGGACACAUCUGGAGGUUUUGCCCAUAACUUAGGCAAAACAGAGGUGGUGAUAGUGACCGUGCAAACGUUGUUGAGGAGCCCAUACUUGUCUACAAUGAGAUUUUGUCAACCUGACAACCUAGGAGAUCACUUGGGUGGUUGACAGUGUUGCCACCAUCCAUGUAACGUCCAGGCGUGAAUUUUUAUCAUCUUGCUCACCGGGCAACUACGGUGUGGUAAGGAUGGGAAAUGGAAACCUCUCCAAGGUCGUUGGCAAAGGAGAUGUCUGCCUGGAGACAAUGGAAGGUGCGAAGUUGGUGCUGCGAGAUGUUAGACAUGUCCCGGACAUGCGUCUAAAUCUGAUUUCUGUGGACAAGCUGGACGGGGAAGGUUAUUGUCAUACCUUCAAAAACGGUCAAUGGAAACUCACCAAAGGCGCAUUGGUGGUGGCGAGAGGCAAGAAGCAGUCUAAACUGUACGUGACAGAAGCCAAGAUGUUCCUAAAACCUGCAAACUCUACAGAGAUUGUUGACACCGUCGUGUUGUGGCACAAACGCCUUGGCCAUAUGAGCGAGAAGUCCAUGGUAAAGCUGGCAAAGAAGAAGGCUAUACCUGGACUGGAUCAUGUCCACCUGGAGAGAUGCGUCGACUGUUUGGCAGGAAAGCAAAAUCGAGUUGCUUUCAGAAGUUCUCCACCUUCUAGAGCAAAGAACGUACUAGAUCUAGUUCACUCAGAUCUUUGUGAAGCGGAUUCCAAAUCCCUUGGUGGCGCACGUUACUUUGCUACGUUUAUUGAUGAUCACUCGCGGAAGACAUGGGUAUAUGUUCUGAAGACGAAAGAUCAGGUGCUAAACGUUUUCAAACGUUUUGUUGCAUUGGUGGAGAGGGAGACUGGCCAGAAGCUGAAGUGUCUACGUACAGACAAUGGUGGAGAGUACAUUGGGCCAUUCGAUGCCUACUGUAAAGAGAAGGGAAUCCGACAUCAGUUUACACCUCCUAAGACUCCGCAACUGAAUGGCGUGGCGGAGCGGAUGAACAAAACCUUGAUGGAGAGAGUCAGGUGCUUACUCUCCCACUCGAAGUUACCGCACUCUUUUUGGGGAGAAGCACUACUUGCCGUAGUGCAUGUUUGGAACCUUUCACCUAGCGUUCCAUUAGAUUUUGAAGCCCCCGAGAAGAUUUGGUCGGGAAGAGAUGUCUCGUACAAGCAUCUCCCCCUUGACGUUCAACCUGAUGAUCCUGAUGAUGAUGAUGAUGAUUGUUCUCAUGAUCAACCGAUAACCGCCGAAGGCUCUCUACCCCGAACGAGAUCUGGCAGAGUCGUGCAACCCUCUACCAAAUAUUCAUGAAAUGAAUAUGUUUUAUUCACUGACGAGGGAGAACCAGAUAGCUUCCAGAAAGCUAUGAAGGAUGAACACAAGCAUAAAUGGAUGAAGGCAAUGGAGGAUGAGAUGAAGUCCCUAUACGACAACAACACAUUUGAGUUGGUAAAGUUACCAAAGGGGAAGAGAGUUUUGAAGAACAAGUGGGUUUUCAAAAUCAAGAAUGAAGAACACAACAGUAAACCACGGUUCAAAGCUCGGCUCAUUGUGAAAGGCUUCAGUCAAAGGAAGGGCAUCGACUUUGGUGAGAUAUUCUCACCGGUGGUUAAAUUAACAUCCAUUCGUACAGUGCUGGGGCUUGCGUCAAGUUUCAACCUGGAGGUUGAGCAGAUGGACGUGAAGACUGCCUUCCUCCAUGGCGAUUUGGAGGAAGAGAUUUAUAUGGAGCAACCGGAAGGCUUCAAGAAGAAGGGAAACGAGGAUUUCGUGUGCAAACUUAACAAAACUUUGUACGGCUUGAAGCAAGCACCACGACAAUGGUAUAAGAAGUUCAAGUCUGUUAUGGAGGAACAAGGGUACAAGAAGACCACUUCAGACCAUUGCGUAUUCGUGAAGAAGUUCGGAGAUGAUGAUUUAAUCAUCUUGUUGCUCUAUGUUGACGACAUGCUGAUUGUUGGCCGGAAUGUUUCCAGAAUCAACAACUUGAAGAAGGAGUUGAGCAAGUCUUUUGCUAUGAAAGACUUGGGGCCCGCGAAGCAGAUUCUUGGCUUGAAGAUUGCACGAGAUAGAGUUGCCAAGAAGAUCUGGUUGUCGCAGGAGAAGUACAUUGAGAAAGUACUCCAACGAUUCAACAUGAAUAAUCAAUUUUGUCUCCCAUCUCAGUUGAUAUAUAAUGAGCCAAAUAUUGGCUUCAUUUCUCAUCCCUCACCAAUCACUCUUCCUUUCCUAUCUAUGUACGUUUAUCACUCUCCCUUUGUGUAGUGUACUUAUCUUCUUUAUUUGUAACAAUUGAAAGUCAUUUCUUUCAAUUGUUGGGUAGAUAGGUGAGCGGUAGAAAGUCCCGAAAAAUGUUUUACCGUGGUAGGAAUAUUUUCUUGUGAGCGAUAAAAUAGUGAGUAGUUGUUUUGGAGUUGGGAAACAAUUGAGAGACACUAUUUUUUGAUCGACUCCUCAUUAUAUAUUUCAUUAUUAAUAUUACCACGGUAAAUUGUUCUAAGGAGGUUGGCUUAAUUAUCGUCAUUAUAGUAUUGCGGUGGUAAUCACCCAUCCAUAGUGAUUUUAAGUGUGACGGACUACCGCCACUUCCAACCUGUUUAGAAAAUAUUUACGGUGUGUGAUUUAUUAGUGUAAUAUAUUUACUCUAUUCUCGUCCGUGCGCCCCAACAACAUAGAUGAGAACAGGGGGAACAGUUGAGAUUGAAAGGAGAUAAGAUAGGAGGAUCACUCCGUAGACGGUUACUCCCCAACCGGAGGAGGAGGAAGCUUGGGAGUGGAAAAACGGUGGUACGACAAGGAGAACGGCGGGAAGGAGGCGGCAGAGAAAAUGAGGGAGGAGGGAGACAGGCGAGAGAGAAGGGAAUUCAUGACGUAUUUGUGUUGUCUAGUAGUUUGGUUUCGAGAUAUGCCACCCAUUACAGAACCAGGGGAGGACAAUAUAAAAUUUCUAUUAACACUAAAGAACAUAAACACUAUACGUACGAAUGUUUUAGAGAAGCGUACAGUCGUAUCCGUAGCAAGGCGAGAAGAAGGGAGGUGGCACCAUGUGUCUGCAUGGGCGUCCCCACGUGGCGAGCUGUAAGGGGACACACGUCAUCAACAUACUUUCACCUCUUCCACCCAUGCACCUCUCUGUCCUUCCUUCCUCUGUUUCUUGGUCAUCUCUUUUCAUUCAUAUUAAGAUCCCAUAAAAUAUUGAUCGAAACAACCCUUCUCCUUCUCUCCAUCUGUAAAAUCUGUUGCCAAAAUACUGUCCAAAUAUAUAUACACACACACAUUGAAGAAGAAGAAUGAAGCACCUCUCUACCAUCGCCAAUGACAUUGUGAACAGAUGCGCCCUGUACGUACUCCCAUUAACGUUUUCUCCUUUCCUAAUUCUCAUAAUCGUUACUGAAAUCUAGAAUAUAUUAAUAAUUCGAAUGGGUUGUUUAAUUUGAUUGAAUCUAUUGAAAUAGAAGGGUGGAGAAAAGUGAGGAGGAACUGGUGGAAGAGUUUGAAAGAGAAGUAUGGAAGGAGGAAACAGGGGAUUACUCGAGGAAGUUUAUUGAAUUCUGUUGCUCGAAGGCAUUGAGGAAAGAUUGCCAAUUCAUAGAGGAGAAAAUCGUUGAUGGAUCCUUUUCACGCCUCACUUUCGACAUGAUGCUCGCCUGGGAAACUCCCACUUCCAUCCACGAGCAAUCUAUCUCCGUACGUACGCCUAACUCAAUCCAUUUUCAUUUUGUUUGCUUCAUUUUUUGGUUUUUUUUUGCUCGUUAAACUAAAAAUUAAAAUAAAAACACAGGAAAAUGUAGGAAAGGGUUUAGAAGACAGGAGGAAGAUACCAUCAAAAGUAACUGGAGAAACUGAUGAAAUCCCACUCUUCUACACUGACCUUAUGCCCCUCCUUGUAAGCUAACAUUACAUACCCAUUGGUCAGUUUUGAAAUCAAUUGAUUCAAUGGUCUCUGAUGGGAUCGAUGAUUGAAAAUAGGUUGACGAGGAGGCCAGUGUGGGGGAAGACGCAGUUGUUUGGUUGGGAACAUUGGUCCCAUUGGUCGUGGAUUUCGUCAAUGCCAGGUUUACAUUCGAGACGCUCACCGCAGCUACUGCCCACCGCCUCUUCUACCCUGCCUACGAUAAGUUCUUGAAAGAAAUUAACCAGUUAAGUUCUUGUCUCCCACUACUAGAAUUUGCAGGGGUCCACUAAAUUUUGAACUUUGUGCACAUGAAAUUGUUAUAGACUUAUAUUGAGGGCUGACAGGUUUCAAAUUAGGACCUCUCACUGACUUAAAUUGGACAGCAAGUAGGCUUUGAUAUCAACAUCCCAAUAACUCGAGUUAUUUUUCAUAAUUGAUUUUUAUAGCACUCCUAGUUUUACUUGUACCAUCUUGACUACUUCUCCUAUGUAACUUUUUGAGUCCACUUUGGUUUUGGCAGAAGCAUAAAGAAUCUGCAGCAACAAACUAAACCCAAAGGAAUACAACUUGCUGAUGAAGAGUUCAUACUACACGUUGAUGGCACCGCCAGUUCCCAGAGAGUUGUGCGCCACAUUGGUGGCACCAGCUGGCCAGGUAAUUAACACCUCAUUUAAAUUUGGCUUUUACUUGUGAAUCCCAAUAUAGCAAUCGCACUCUGGUUUUAAUUUAAUUGUGACUGUUUUUUUCCUAUUAGGUAGGCUUACACUUACCAAUUACGCUCUCUACUUCGAGGCAUCUGGGGUGAUCACAUAUGAAGAUGCUCUUAAAAUCGACCUCUCUAACGAUACCAAACACAGCAUCAAAGCCACUGCCACCGGCCCGUGGGGUGCUCCGUUUUUUGACAGGGCCAUCGUCUAUGAAUCCCCUGAAUCGUAAGACCACCAAGUUAAUGCUUUAUAAUAUUGCUUCUCAAGACCAUUUCUAGUUUGUUUACCAUUUGGUGUAACAAUGUGAUGCAGCUCGGAAGGAAUUGUUCUGGAGUUUCCAGAGAUGACAAGCUCCACCAGACGCGAUCAUUGGCUUGCGCUCAUCAAGGAGAUCAUCUUAAUGCACCAGUUCCUGUCGAGGUACAAUGUGGAAUGUCCGAUGCAGGCAUGGGAGAUACAUUCGAGGACAAUACUCGGGAUAGUGAGGCUCCACGCAGCUAGAGAGCUGCUGCGAAUAACGCCACCGGACCCUACCAAGUUCCUCAUCUUCGCCUUGUAUGACGAGCUGCCUAAGGGAGACUACGUGCUGGAUCAGCUUGCAGCGAGCAUAGAGAAGGCCGACAGCGGACACCCGUGCAGUGUCAGUUCACUCCUGAGGAAUAUAAAUGUAUCGCAGUUGCUUACGUCUAGUGGAGAAAUUACAAAGGGUAAAGAGGAAGUUGUGAAUAAUUUUGCUGACGGAGGAGACGAUGAGAUACGUUCCUCUUUAGAGGAUGCAGUUGAUAGAGUGAAGGAGGAAGCUAAGGAGGUUGACAUGGCCAAGGCCACUGCAGAGGGGUUAAAAGAGGAAGGGAUUGGUGAAAGCGCUCAAGUCCUUAUGGUAAGAGUCUAAACGACUUGUGCUAUCGUUUUCAUAUGAACUUAACUUGAUUGAUUUUAUUUGAAUGAUGCAGGAACUGCUGAAGCCGAUCAGAGAUCUGCUACCAUGGUUUCUUGGGAUCAUUUCGUGGGAGAGGCCAUUGGCAUCGCUUCUUGUAUUCGUCACAACUAUCAUAAUCAUCUACAAGUGAGUGAGUGUUCUUUUUCUGAAGUAUAUAUAAGCUUCACUGCUGAUUUGUUCUGCUGUCGGGCGUGAUUAGUGGCUUUAAUCAAACUGCAGGGAGUGGGUGGGGAAAGCAUUAGCUGUUUUCUUGGUCCGGGGUGCAUUGAGGAUACUGCAAGCUAGACGAGGGCGAUCGCACAAGCAAAGCAACGAGAUAGUAGUGUACACCGGGGGAAGAGAACAAAAGAGCACAACUGAGAGCAUUGUGGCGGCUCAGUUCGGAUUGAGAACUGUACACGAGGUGAUGCAAGCAGCUAACAUAGCUAUACUAAAGAUUUGGUCUCUGAUGUCUGCCAAAGCUCCAAAGGUGGUUGGUUAAUCAUCAUGCUACUUCUCAUUUAGUUGGAAACACUUUUGUCUUACUUUUGUAUACUGCCUAUGCCAAGAUGUUUUACUAUGUUUCGAUCGUGCAGCAAUCAGAUAUGGCGAUGGUGGCCAUGGGUUCCUUGGCAAUCAUAUUGGCUGUAAUUCCUUUGAAGUACAUCCUAAUGGGUGGAGUUGUAUACUACGGGAUUAUGACAUCGAAACUAGGGAAGCGAAUGGAGAAUGAUCAGGGGAAUAGAAGGCUAAAGGAAUGGUGGGAUUCAAUUCCAGUCGUCCAUGUCCGUAUCGUUGAUGAACCACCUCCGCCUUCUCCUCCGCUCCCAGAGAAGAAGGAUACUUAAGUUCCAUUGCCAGUCAUGGUUUGUUUUUCUUUGCUCUGUUUGCAGUAUUGUAAUCUUUACGUUAUGACAUACUAGAGGUUAUAUGACACAUCAGAUGCACAACAAAUUAGAGGAAGUAGGUGUGGCCUGUGGGGAAGGACGAAGGUCAAGUAAAUUUGUAUGUUCUACAAGGGCAAACUCUUUUGUUCAGAAGGAUAUGAUUUAUAAUGUGUAAGUUGUUCAGUUCUAUUUCCUAGAGAUGUUUAUCAUGAUCUACAUCCCGAAUUCCGACAACGUACUUUAAUGAACCUGGUAGAAACAGAGCAUCAGGCAGGCAAAGUUACAGGAACAGUCAUGGAAGUUAAACUCCGAGAAUAGCUUCUAAUCAUAGUAUCUACAUACAACUAGCUUCUAAUCAUAGCAUCGUCCUAGCUAAGUUGUGACAAGAAAGCAUGGAGAUGGCAGUUGCAGGCAGCUAACGGCUAUUCACAACAUCCAAAAGAGAGCGAUUUAUGUUGGUUUCAAGAGUUGGUAUUCAGCUUCUCCUCGCCUUCUCUAGAUCAGGAAGGUCUGCGAAAAUUUUGUGCAGAUUCAUCAAUCAUGAGUAAGUAGCCAGGAAUUGCCACUAUAGCUUAACACAGAGAGAGAGAUAGAUGAACAGUGCUCUCCGACCCGUGAUCGUGAAGCCAAAAAGUAAAACGCACUAUCUACAGUAGAUACAUGGAAAGUUAACUUUCCAACUUACAAAGCAGUCCUUCAUCGUCACUAGUUUCAGCGUCCUCAUCAUACUGCCACAAGAAAGAAACCAACUAUCAUUCGGCUAAUCAUACAAAAGUUGGAAAAAGUAGUUUACUUGGCAAAAGAAUUCUAGAUUACGCUACCUCAGCUUCAUCGUCGUCCGAAAGUGUAUCAGCUGCAAAAUCAUCAUCAUCCAGAUACUGUUAGAAACCAGAAUAUGCAGAACCCAUUUCCUACUUACAUGGAUGGACCAAACACAACAUCCAAAAAUGUAACGAUCACCCUAUCAGGAGUCUCGGUGCUCUAACUAAGACUGACUAGUUCAGAUUGUCCCAAACUGCCCGGAGGCGGAGAGAGACUCCUCAGAAUAUAUUCAGGUGGGCAAACAAUUCUUGCUUGCGCAUUUCGCAUUUCGGCAGUGAAUGAACAGAUAUUGGCGAGGAUCUAACUAGCUUCUCCCAAAGAGCAUUAAGAAACAAUAAUAUUAACUGAACUUAUAGGAGACAAAGGAUGCUAUUGAAAGACUUACAAGCAGGUCCUUCAUCAUCUUCAUCGAUCCACCUAUGCCAAUCAACUUUAAUGUAAGGUGCAGGCUUCUCUUCUGAUUUCAACAGUCUCCUCCACCACCCUUUCUCCUCUUUCUGGAUGGAGCAGAUUAUGUUCCUCAACCCAACAUUAGUCUUGCACUUCUGCACCAGCAUUUGCAUGGAUUACUUACUACGAUCACUUCCACCGGGAUUCACACAUCAUUAGAGAAAUCAACUAGAUUUUCUUGAAAUUCGGCAUAUGAUGAUUUUUCAAAGCAAAAUUCCAAAGACGCAAGACAAACAAAAGAAUCCACAAACAGUAUAAUGUGCCGGAAAGUGAAAUCUCGAUCAUGGACAGAAUAAGAACGAUUUUAGUACAAAGGCCAGAAGUGCAAGAACCUCGGGAAGAAUGGAAGCGUAGAGCUGGAGAUUGAGCUCGAAGGACUCGCCCUGAAUCCCGCUAGCGGAGAAACUGAACAAACCCUGGGGCUGACAUUUCACAGAUAUGUCCUUAGCGUCCGGCAACGCUACCGUCAGGUAUACCUUGUCGGAUCGCUGGGCCCAGAGAACUUCCGGAUUCCGACUGAGGUUAGCGAUCACAUAUCAGGGACGGUAACAGAAAUAAUCGAACAGAUGAAACACACGAAGCUUCAAACUCCGUGCAAAAGAAGUGGUUGGCGUACUUACCUCAAUCCAUUUUACCAAAAAUAUAAAAACUUACCUGAUUCCUCGACCGUAAUCGACUGCCAUGGCGGUGGCGAAAGGCGAAGUGGAUGGGAUCACGGAAGGAGGAGAGAAGCGGUUUUGAAGAAUGACCGAGGAGGAGGAGGAGGAGAGCAGCUGUACGACGAAGAGGUGGUGGGUUAGUACUAACUAGUAACUAGUAGGACUGAAAAUGAAGUGAGUGAUGUGUACGUUUUUUUGUCUUUGUUUGGGGUCCGAAAUAUGCCCAAAUUGGAGCCCUAUGUGAAAUAUCCAAUUGCAAUUUGCCAACCUCAAUUUCAAUUUUUGGUUAAAAAAACAUCUUUACAUAAUUAAAAAGAUUGUUUGGAUUGAUAAUUUAUGUAAUUCAGAUUUUAAAUUUUUUUUGCCACAAAUCAUUUACAGAUACUAAAAUUUUUUUUGAAAAUUUAAAAUUACUUUAUCAGUUUAGAAAGAAUUUUAUGACUGAUUUCAAAUUAUCUAAAGAAAGUAAAAAAUUCAAACAAAAGAGAUCAGAUUUUGAAAAUUUUAAUUAAAACUAUUCUUUGUUUUCUUUUGGUAAUUCAUGUGAUCAUAAAAAAUUUGGAGACAUUUUUCAUAUUUUUUGUUUUUUAUUUUUCUUUUAUUUUCUUUUUUUAUGAUAAUUAUAUUUAAAUUCNNNNNNNNNNNNNNNNNNNNNNNNNNNNNNNNNNNNNNNNNNNNNNNNNNNNNNNNNNNNNNNNNNNNNNNNNNNNNNNNNNNNNNNNNNNNNNNNNNNNNNNNNNNNNNNNNNNNNNNNNNNNNNNNNNNNNNNNGAGAAAAGUGUACAUCAUUUUUGCUUUUCAUAGCUAUCAUUUAUUGUUUUAAUCUAAUGACAUUAGACUCUCUUAGUGUCCUAAUGAUUAGAAUAUUUUUAAUAAUCUUUAAAUAAUAAAUUUUUAAUUCAAUGGUUAUGAUUUAAUAAUAGCAAUUGAGAUGAAUAGUACCUAUUUUUUAUAAAAUUCAAUAUUUUGUAAAUAGUUUAAGCGAAAAAAUAAAUAAAUAAAAGGGAUCCCAAAAAUUUUGCUUCAUUAUCUUUUGAACCUUCCAUCUUUCUUGUAUUCCUCCCGAAAUUAAAAACCCUCAUCUUCUCCUUUUUUGAAAAUCGCAGGCGAAUGGAAAUGCCAAGAUCAUCACCUUUGGUGAUCACCCUAUUUUCGAAUUAGGAACCAAAAACCUAAUUGAUUGCCUUUGGUUCUGUUUUGUAGAGUCGUCAUCAUCGCCCGAGUCUUCUAGUCCCACUGGCCGCUAGUCGAGUAAGUCGUUGUCGAUCGCCUUUGAUGAUCUCAUCCCAAUUUUCUAAUUAGAAACCAAUUAAAAACCUAAGUGAUCGCCUUUGGUUCUGUUUUGCAGAAUCGCCGUCGUCGCCCGAGUCUUCGAGUUCCACCGGCUUCUAAUUGAGUAAGUCGUCGUCCAUCACCUUUGGUUCUAUUUUACAGUCCCCACCGUCAGGUAUAAGCUAGACGGAAAAAAAUGUUGUAGGCAAUAUUUAAUCGGAAAUUACGUAGAUAAUCAACUUGAAACCUUAAUUAUGUAAAAUUGCAAUAAGGGGCAGUUAUAACGCGGUGUCCUAGGGCGUGCCUCGGGUUGGAGGAUGCCUCCAACGGCAAGGUGUAUCCCAAUAAGAAAAAAAUUAACUAAAAUUCUUAUCAAGAAAACAUACGGGAGAAAAUCAUGGUUAAAGAAAAAAGAGUGUAAUGCUUAUUAAUUCCCUUUUAUGAUAAACUCUAUUAGGGUCCUAAGUCAUUCAUCUUUAAUAAUGUAAAAAUAUCUUUGGAGUUGUCAUAUAAAGAACAAUAACAAUGGUGAACGAAUCUUAAAGAAUGUUACUUGAGUGUGGUCUUGAAACAAUCAUUUCACUAUUUUUCGGAGCUCUAAACUCCUACAAGUAAAAUAUGUUCUAUGUAUGAUUUUGUGGACGCAGUUCAUGUCGUUACACGGAUACCUUAUUGUCUAUAUGUUGUCACAUGACAACACCCAUUUCAUCCAUCAAAUCUAGGUACUAAGAUUUAGUGAUGACCAAAAAGGAAAAAUCGAAAUUAUUUAAAUAAAAAACAGCCAAACCUCUCUAGUGUUAUCAUUUUUUAGAUUCUCCUCAAAUUAAUUUCCUAUUUUUCUUUCAAAAUCUAUGCCCACAUUUUCCCUCCCAAUUGGGUGAUUUACGGAAUGCUCGUCAAUUGUUCGAUGAAAUCCCUUUAAAAAAAUCUUAAUACAAAUGGUUGAAUUGGGUGUGUCUUGGUCCACACACAUUUUACUUAUAUCUUGAAAAAACUUCUAACACAAAGAGCUUUGUGCCCGCCCAUUGGCCAGGUGUGAUUCUCCCUCAUUAGAGUUAGGAUCUUAUUCUCUGCCUUGAGGUGGUCAAUUGAGUAAUUUUUUAUUGCUUGCGUUGGGUGUUUCCCUGAAAUGUUGAUAAAUUGGUAUCAAUGCAUAUGCUAAUUAAUUAACAUGAUAUUUAACAUAAUGGUUGCUUGAUUAUUGUAAUCAUAUGCUUACUUGGUUAAGGUUGACUGUUGAUAAUCGAGAUUACCUCCGAUACUUAUUUUAAGUAUUCCUUGUACUUAAUGGUUAUAGUUAGUGGCUUAGAUAAAUCCUUAACUAGAAGAGAUUAGUUUUACUUUGGUGUAUAUAAUCUCAUCAUCAAUAAUAAUCAGAAUCACGGAACUUUCCCAAAUAUCAUGGUAUCAGCCACCUUCACCGACCUGAAUCGUCUCCACUGCUGAUGGCGUCGCUUCUCCUGAGCCCAAUCCAGCACUCACAGCGUGAAAACAGAAAGACAAGUUUGUUCUUCUAUGGCUGCGAUCGACUCUCUCCAAGCGGUCUCUCUCCUUGGUGGUACGGCCGACUUCCACUCAACAAGCAUAGCAUGCAAUUGAUCUUAGCUUCCAAUUCUCAGACCCGGGCUCACUGAAUAUAAUUCAAGCUCCAACAUCAGUCAUUAUCAAAGGGGUCUCUUUCCAUGUUUGACUAUCUUGAGAAGAAACGGGCGAUCGCAGAUUCGCUCGCAGCUAAUCAGCAUCCAAUUUCCAAUGAGGAUUUAAUUGGGCACGUCCUCGGUGGGUUGGAUGACUCCUACAAUGCCUUUAUCACUGAUUUUAUGAUGAAAGGAGGAAAUGUUAGCAUCGAUGCUCUCACCGGGUUGCUACUUCACGAAGAAGCUCGCCACGAAUAGGCGGUUCACCGCACCUCCGCGUUGCUCCCUACUCAGGCGGUGGUGCCCCAGCCAACUGCUUAUCAGGUACAUCGCUCAGCUAAUCAGGCUCCUCCUUCUAGAUCAUCUCCUCAUUCACAUUUUUCAGCUGGUUCCUCGACUUCUUCUCGCUGUGGCUCGCAAAAGCCACGAGUCUUCUGUCAGCUUUGUCGUAUGGGUGGCCACGAGGCUUUGGAUUGCAGGAACCUCACAAAUCUGAAUGCUUACCCCUCUCGCGGGCAGCCUCCUCCUGCUCACUUCACCAAUCAAGCUCCUCCUCGCCAGGCAUACUAUGCACAACUCAAUGAUUAUGCCACUAUUGUGGAUCCUUCUUGGUACUUCGACACUAGUGGUACUCCCGAUUUCAGCAAACUCACCGUUGUUGAUGCUUAUCCUGACAGCGACAAACUCCAAGUUGGUAAAGUUAAACAUCUAUCUAUUUCUCAUAAUGGCUCUGUGACAUCCCGAAUUUCGAUUCAGAUUAAUUUUCAGUUUGAUUAAAAUCUUACUCGAUAAGUAGAAGUGGGGAGUUUAAAAUUUAAUUAAUUUAAUUAAUUCGAGAAGGUGACUAAGCAGUUGACCAGAUAAUUAUCGGGUUGACUAAGUCAAUCAGAAAAGGAGUUAAGUCUCUUUAAUUGUAUGUUAUGAGCUUGAAGGAGUCUGAACCGUUGGAUGGAUCUGAUGGUGAGGAUUGGCCUUGAAUGGUUCGAGAGCGAGAGGGAGGCUACAACUUUCUUUUGGACUCAGACUUAGAUGCGGGCCAAGAGGCCCAACUAGAGUUGUGGUAACGUGUUGGUUUUGGGCAGUUGGAAGAGCCCAACGGGGAGAUGGGCCAAAGUUUCAAUCAAGGGAAACGAGAGCGUUGGGUUGUGAUUCCCAACCCUACAGUUGCAGCAGCGAGAGAGAAAGCUCCCAGCUCCAGGUGAUGAGGACUUGACGAUCGUGAGUCGGGGAGCGUGAUGUAGCAGGAGGGAUCUCCCUCCUUGAUUCCAUGGCGCCGAUUUGUUGAGUUUAGGGAGAUCCAGCAGGAAGGAGCAGAAACUGGAGCAAGAGGGAGCGAGGACGGCGGCGUUUUGCCGAUCCGUGGGGAAGAGUAGCUGCUGGCGGUUCUACGGUAUGGCAGCGACAGGAAACGACCUGCAGGCAUCGUCGCGGAUGGAAGGGUCCGGCGGCGGCAGUUUCGCGGUGUUCCACGAAGUGCGGAGCUUCGUCGAGAACUGGCGGCGAGCCCCUUUUUCGAGAAGACAGGUGACCAGAGGGUCAUAGUCAAGAGUUCAAUGACCAAACUGUAGUUUCAGAAAGAUAAAUGACCUCGUGCAACUUCCUUAAGUUUGAGGAUUGGUUCUGUAAUUUGCAAAGCUGGGCAGUGAAAUGACUUUCUGUCCCUAUGAGUUUUAGGUUCUUGCAAAGAAGUAAAUGGGGCAUAACUCGGUUGAUUGGACUCCAAAUGACGCACGGUCAGAAGCUACGGACUCGUGGCAGUGAGAGAAGUCAUGUGAAGUCAGAAUCAGAGAUGUCAGCACUUCAUAAGAGGUACGAGUUAUGAUUACUUUUCUGCUUUAUGCAAAGAACUGUAAUUUAGUUGUCAGGAAUACUGAUUGGAUUUUCAGGACUAUACAGUAGCGUGCGAUCUACUGUCAAAAUGUCGUGAUUUUAAUAGGCGGGCUCUCAAGCUGUGCAGUAGCGUGUAAUCUACUACACAUGCAGUUACAAUUUCAGCUUAGUUCUCAUAGAUGAACUGUGGCGUGUGAUCCACAGUUCCUAACAGUUCUAUCAGGAUAGACCUACUAGGUUAGUACAUGACUAUUAUACAUCGGUCACCCACCCCAUGGAUUGUGCGAUCCCUAAAGUUACAAUCAUAUUCAGGCAGACGUGAUGAGCAAGCCUUGACCUGCUCUCACGGUUCUUCAGGGUGGUCUCAUGGCCUAAUCCGUCAUGAGGUUUUCCGCUCUUAGCUAGGGGUGACUGACAAUAGGAUGACAGUUGUAGGACCACAAUGUCACAUUGUUAGUUUCAGCAUUUUAAUAGACUUGCUCUAUCUCUAGUGAAGGCCAGUGCAUGUACAGUAAAGACUCAGCGCAUACGCAGUGACAUUUUUGUUCAGUUUCAGUUCAUCAUUGUAAUUGUUUAGUCACUUAGUGCGUAUCACUAGCCCCCUGGAGAUAUUGUUUUCCUUGGUGUAUCUGUGUGUUCAGUCACAUGUACUGGAGCUGAUGGUGGGGAGAGAGCUGGCCGGGACUCCUAGGGUGGGGUUUCACAGGCUCGACUUCUCUUCCCAUGCUUAGUUUGCCUAAUGUCUUAAUUGUUCCACAUCUCACUGAAAACCUAUUGAGUGUAUCCAAACUUACCAAUGAUAACAACAUCUAUGUCGAAUUCUGGCCAACUCGCUGUGUUGUAAAGACUUUGCAAGGCCUUCCUCUUCUCAAAGGAGACGUCAGUAAUGGCCUUUAUCGCCUUCCAACGAUGCUCGCUUCCUCGGCCGCACCUCCCCAUGUGGCAUACACAGGUGUUCGCAAGAGCUUACUUGGAUGGCAUCAAAGACUGGUGCAUCCCCUUGGCUGUUCUUAGUCGAUUAGUCAACACUUUUUCUUUACCGGUUUAGUCCAAUAAAAUGCCAGCUGUUUGUGAACCUUGCCAAUUGCGCAAAAGUCGUCAUCUUCAUUUGCCUUCUACUCAUGUUUCUAGUUCAAAGCCUUUUGAUUUGGUGUAUUAUGACGUUUGGAGACCUUCACCCAUUUUGUCUUUGAAUGGUCAUCAUUAUUUCUUGCUCUUCAUUGAUGAUUGUACCAAGUUUGUUUGGAUUUAUUUCUUAACUAAAAAAUCUGAAGUUCUUGAUUACUUUCGCAGAUUUCGAACAAUGGUCACCACUCAAUUUGGUGUGGUAAUCAAAAGUUUCCAAUCCAAUUGGGGUGGAGAAUUCUGCCAUGUUUCAAAGUUUUUCACCGCCCAUGGCAUCCAUCAUCACGUUUCCAUCCGUCAUACGCCCGAACAAAAUGGCACUAUUGAACGUUGCAAUCACAUCAUAAUUGAAAAGGGCCUCACUCUCCUCACUCAAUCGUCCUUACCACAAUUAUUUUGGGAGCAUGCCUUCAGAACUGCCACAUAUCUUCACAAUCGAACUCCCAUUUCGACUCUUGACUAUGACUCCCCUUUUCGACGACUCUACUCACGUCCUGAUUAUGGCUUUCUCAAAACCUUCGGUUGUCUAUGUUACCCUUAUAUUUGUCCUCAGACUUCUCAUAAAUUUGAUUUCCGCACUUUACCAUGUAUCUUUCUUGGUUACAACUCAUCUCAUAAAGGCUAUUUGUGCUAUCAUUAACCCACCUCUUGUCUCUAUAUUUCUCGGCAUGUCAUCUUUAAUGAAUCAUUGUUUCAUUCGGUUUCCUGUUUUAGCUCACCUUCACCUCCCUCCACUAUCCCUUUCGCUUCGACGCCAACCGACUUUCUCAAUCUAGCGAUGACAACUCCUCCACCAUCAGUUCCUACUCCAUCUUUGAAUCCCUCGCCACCAUAUUUUCUUCCUCCCACUUCUUCAUCUACUGUCUCCACACCUUCUAAUUCCAAUCCACCUCCCUCUCCACCACUAACCAUCACUUCAUCUCACCAACAGCCAACACAAAGUUCAAUUCCUAAACAUCACCAACCCUCCACCCGUCACUAUCGACCAGGAGCAACCAAUAGCCACUCCAUGACCACCCAAAUAGCCACCAAGUCUCUCAAACCAAAAACAUUCACCGUAACUCUCUCAACCAAUCGCUCCAAAGAACAAAAAAUUAUCGUGACGCUGUGAAACAAGAAUGUUGGCGACUAGCUAUGAAAGCUGAAUUCGAUGCUCUUAUGCGAAAAAUAUAUUGUUCUUGUACCUUGUCCUGCUAAUGUCAAUCUUGUUGGAAGCAAAUGGAUUUUCAGGAUCAAGCGCAAUUCGGAUGGAACCAUCGAUCAAUUCAAAGCUCAACUUGUAGCACAAGGAUUCAGGUAAGAGGAAGGUGUCGACUAAUAUGAGACUUUCAGCCCCGUUGUGAAGCCAACUACUAUACGGGUCGUUCUCUCCAUUGAUGUCUCUCAAGGCUGGGAGUUGUGCCAACUCGAUAUCAAUAACGCCUUACUCAACCGCGACAUAACGGAGGAAGUUUACAUGCGGCAGCCGUGCGGUUUUGAGCACCCUAAUUUCCCAAUUCAUGUAGGUCGCAUUCGCAAAGUUAUAUAUGGUCUUAAGUAAGCCCCACGAGCAUGGUUCACAAAGCUCAAAAUGUACCUCACCAACCAAGGCUUCGUUGCUUGCCGCUCGGACACCUCCCUGUUUGUUGAGCGCAGCUCACGUGACACUACAUAUGUCUUAGUAUACAUCAACGACUUGAUUAUCAAGUUCAGCAACUCAAGCUACGUUCAAUAAUUUAUUCAAAAUCUAGAUCAUCAAUUCGCCCUCAAUGACAUGGGAAAGUUUCAUCACUUCUUGGGUAUUGAUAUCACACAUACCAUUGAUGGGCUUCACUUGUCUCAACAACACUAUAUCAAGGAAAUACCACAAAGAGUUCACAUGGAUGCAACAUCACCUAUUGCAACACCAGCGGAUCCACAACAUCGUCUUUCUCGAGAAGGUGAUCCCUUCGACAACCCCACACUUUAUCGGCAAACAGUUGGAUGUCUUCAAUAUGCCACUGUAACUCGGUCGGAUAUCACAUUUGUAGUCAACUAAGUUUGUCAAUUCAUGCACUCGCCGACGCAGCUCCAUUGGCAAGUUGUCAAGCGGAUUCUCCGCUACCUCAAUGGUACUUUAUUUCAUGCUCUUCAUUUUCGGCACACUGUUACCUCUCGCCUUCUGUCCUAGUCUGACUCCGGUUGGGUCUCAAAUCCGGAUGAUAGCCGCUCACAGUAUGGAUAUUCCAUUUACCAUAUACAUAAUCUUAUCAGUUGGACCUCACAGAAGCAAAAAGUUGUAGCACGGUCAAGUACGGAGGCAGAAUACCGAUCAUUGGCUUACACUUCUGCGGAACUUCUAUGGUUGCAGCAACUUCUCUUUGAGCUUGGCAGUCCCCUACAGCAACCUCUGUUCCUCUUGUGUGACAAUGUCGAAGCUAUCUUCCUCAGCAAGAACCCAGUUAUAUCCACUCGAAGCAUGUCGCGUUAGAUUUUCACUUCAUUCGAGAACAGGUCGAACGUGACACUCUACAAAUCUUCACUCAUGAUUAGCUCACAGACAUUUUUACAAAGCCACUACACAAAGAUCGACUCUCUUUUUUUCGGUCCAAGCUUCAACCUUCUCUUGAGCUUGCGGGGUGUGAUAACCGAGAUUACUUCCACUACUUAUUUUAAAUAUUCCUUGUAAUUAGUGGUUAUAGUUAGUGGCUUAGACAACUCCUUAACUAUAGGAGAUUAGUUGUACUCUGGUGUAUAUAAUCUCAUCAUCAAUAAUAAUCAGAAUCACAGAACCUUGCCAAAUAUCAAAUUUCUCUCCUUGUUUAAAAUGCUAUAAUUUUUGUUUUUCUUUUGAAAAUUGUUCGUUUAUGUUACACCUUUUUAGGUAGAACUCAUCAGAAGUUAUUUUGUGAGAAGAGGGUGCCAAAGAGGUUAUAUACAUAGCGAUCCGAGUCGACGUCCACAACAACCUACUUUAGUUAGCCUAUUAUGACGACUAAUUAGCCGAAAUCGUCCCAUACGUUUGGCUCGAAUCAGAAACUUGUCCCCGUUGUAUAAAAUGUAACGAAUGUCAUCCCUUUCGUUAUCGGACGUAACCAUUUUGUCCUACCGUCCGGCUCUGUCAUAACGACAAAUAAUUUUGCUGAUGUGGCAGUUCCACCUUAGCUAAAACCGAACCAAUAAUUACUCAUGGUUAAACAUGAUAAAUCAAAUCGGUUAGAAACAUGAUUGUUCGUCCUUUUCAUUUUAUAUUGUAACCACAAGGUCCUUUUCGAAUUUAAUGGUAGCACAUGAGCCUCGUUUUCAUGAAUGAUGAAGCCAAGUGCCCUCGUUCGUCCUUCUCAUCCAUCAUCAAGCCGUUUCAUCAUUCCACCAUUAUUGCAUGCAAAUUCAGCAACCAUCGAACAAGAGUUGGAAGAAGAUUACUACAAAAUGAUGAAGAUCCGUGAAGAAGACACCAAUGAGUGAUCGAUUUCUGAAGCUGGAGAGGAGAUGAAGAUCGAUUUUGAAUUGGAGGAGAUAAACCCUAUAUUUUACUAACUUCCAUUGAAGAAAUCCUAUAAAGGAAUUUUCUGGGCAAGGGGCGAGUUUGAUAUGUAUGGGAGACUAAUAGUCGCUUUUUCUUUGGAAUAAUAACACUUGAGUUACUUGAGCUGGUUAUUUGGGAUUUAAUAUGACCAGUUAUCCGAGUUUUAACCGUGGGUAAUUUUUGAUUUUGUCUAACCUACCACAUUGGAUGGGGUGGGCCCAACAGCGAUGCCACAUUAGCGAAUACUAACAGCCGUUUAGAUAGACACGAACGGAAGGACAUUUUCGUUACACGCAAAAACGAGAGGGACGACGAGGUUAUUUUUUUACGACGGGGACUAGUUUAUGAAUCGGGCCAAAUUUAAGGGACAAUUUCGGUCGAUUAGCCCUACUAUGACUGACCUACUUUGUUUUCAGGUAGCCCCCUCCGCAACUGUAGGUCGGUUGUGAACCAAGUUUUGAUAUCAAUUGUCACAACCUUUUGAGUAUAAUUCAUUUCGAAAAGUUAACUUAUGAGAAGAGGAUGGCUAAAAGAUUAUAAACCUACUCACUCAUCUCAUACUUAAUGAUGUGGUAUGCCAUUAUAGUGUUGUUUUGAUGGGGAUUUUGUAGUCUAUAUUUAUUUCAUUUCUUUGUUUGGUUAAAGUAUAAUUAUGGCGGUUAUUUUAUUGUUAUUUCUGCAGUUACAUUGACAAUUUGGUUGAUUGACAAUUUAGACACUGGGACCAAACCAGCUGUGUUCAGGCAUCCAUUGGAAAUGAAAUUUGCUAGACUUUCUAUCAAAUGAGACAUGACAUGGGAAUGGUGAAUGAGAUCAUAUUUAUCGUGACCAAUAAUUCUUAUACUGGAAGGCUCAAAAUAGAUAUAUUAUGUUCAACUCCGAAAAUAAUUAGGCCUAAGACUUACGGAUCAUCGAAAAUUCACACAAUUUCGCCACAUAGACCUGAAAUUAACUUACUGAUUCCAGUUUCUCCUUCCCUCGGCCUUGUUGUCGUUGCUGCCGUCAUUGGUGAAAGAAGAAGACUGCUAAAAUCCCUUUCCCCAGUCGCCGUGGUUGACAGAAGAAGAAGACUGAAACAAUCCUCUAGUCGGUGGCGGAAGAAAAAGAGAGGGACCAACAUGCCGGUUUGUUGACUAUUGAGCUCGCUGGGUUGUUUGAUUCACAGAUUGAGAAGGGGUUGCUUAGAUAGAGAAAGGAUUGCGUUCCUCACUCAGUAGGACGGCAACAUUUUGUGGGUUUUGGAGGUGUGAGGUGGAUUAAUGAAACGGUGUGCUGCUCACUAAUACCCAAAGGGUCAGAUUAUAUUCAUCAGAAUUCAACAUAGGCUGAUGUGGCAACAACAAUCUCACAAAUAACUAUAAUAUAACUUAAGAGGCUAAACAUGAUUAUAAAAAAAUGAUUGAUUUGACCUAAUUUAAAUUAUAAUAUAAUUAAAUUUAAAAUACCAAAAUUCAAAUACAUCAUUCAUUAUAUAAGGCAUUUAAUAUGUAAACAUCCAUAUCAACCCUAAUUUAACAAUAAAAGAUUUAGUUUAUCAUGAUGAAAUUACAACAUGAAAAAGAAAUAUAAACACGGUUAAUUAGUUCAAAUCGUCCCCUACGUUUAGGCUAAAUCAUAAAUUCGUAUUCAACAUAUCAAAAAUAACUAUAUCGUUCUUUUUGUUAUCAGAAUUAACUAAUAUGUCAUUUCGUCAAUCUCCAUCUAAAUGUCCGUUAAAUAUAUUGAUGUGACAUUAUCUUUAAACCUACUUUAUAUGAUGUGGCACUUUUUAUGUCGGUUCAGAACAAAGCGUGAUUAACCUUUACUUUAAUUAGUUUGAUUAAAAUUGUUAAAAAACCCAAAAUCAACUCAGUUGUUCAUCUUCUUCCUUCUUCAUCUGAUCAUUACUGCUAUCUUCCUUCUUCUAUUUAGGGAAAAACUCAACGAGGAAAAAAGAAGAAGCAGCAUCAGAUAAUGAGAAGACGAGUUGCGGUUUUCAUGGAUUUCAUCAGUUUUUUCUUUGUCACUACCGAAUUUUGAAUCUCUGCCUCUUCCAAGUCCCAACUCAUUUUCGUUCUCGCCAGCGUCGCCGAAGUCGUCCUCGCAGAAGCCGCCGUGUUCGGGUGACGAUUUGGUUGUGCAUAUUGCGCUCUUGGGGAAGUUCUUUGUAUUCACCGAUUACUGUUAUGUUGAGGGUUUACUAUGUUGGGAUUGAUUUGGUGAAGAUUAGGUUUAGAGUUUGAAAAAGUUGGAAUUGAUUGGGUUUAGUUGGAACGGAUGGAAGCUAAGUCGAGGAAGUUAGGAGGAGUUGUUCGGAUUCAAUGGUAGUGGUGGCGGUAGAGGUUGGGAUCAGAAGUCGGAAGCGGCGGCCGAUCCAAUGAUGGUGGUGGAAUGGUCCGAAUCGGUUGGGGUUUACAAGACUGGGUUUUGGUUGGAUCAGGUGUCAAGUCUAUGUGUGGACAAUUUGAAUGACUUGCUAACUAUGCAUAUUUAACAAAAUAUUUUAACGAUCAUUAAUUUUUAGAUAGAAGCCUUAAAAUUCGCAAAUAAAUUUCAUCAAUGGCAACUCUCGCUUCAUUUAAAAUAAUAAUUUUAUAAAUUAAAUAAUAAUUUAAAAUUAAUUUUUCAAUUCUUAAUCAAACAUAAAAUUGAAAAUUACCCAAAACUGAUUUUUGUUUGAUAAUCAAUUAACUUAGUCAAUUCAAGUCAAACUCUGGUCAUAGUAGGUGUCAGACCUAGCAUACCAAAUCAGUUGGAUCUUGUUUGAUUCAACCAAAACCGGUCAAACCAAGCUGGUUCAACCAAUCUGGUCUAACCAGACAACGCCAACCAAAUCAAAUCAGCUGCAAGCCGUACCAACCAAAACUUUUUCAUGUACAGCAACUUACACCCAAUUUGGCCGUGUACAUAAAUAAGGCCCAAAGACAAUUUGUGGUUUCACUAAACCAAUAUUGCGAUGGAAUAAUGGCGGCUAAUUCACUUAAGUUGGGUAAUUAAUCGAACCGGCCAGGUUUUACUGGUGCUACCAAGUCUGACCGAACCAACAGAGAAAGUAAUAAUACAUGGAAAAAUCAAACAAUUCCCAUGCACUUUUGAUUCCACCAAACCAAAAUUUGAUGAAUCUGUUCCCUCGAAGGCUCAAGCCGAUAUUAAUCUGAUAAGUUUUGGAUAUAUGAUUGCAGGUAAUGUUAAGAGUUCAGUAACUGUCCAAUGCCUCCGCUCGUUGUCCAACAACCAACAGCAAAAAUUAAAACACUACUGCUUCUACUAUUGAGGCAGUCACAUCAGCAGUUGGUGAUGAUGGUUCGGUCUAGUUUUGAUUUUAUGUAUUUCGAUUUGUAUCGAAUAGAUUUGAUGAAACAAUUUUCAUCCAACGAAAUUAACAAACAUUAAAACACCUUUUCAAUAGAAAAUAUUAACAAAAUAUAAUCCUCUCUAAAUUGAAUAAUUUCAUGAAGAACACAAUAUCAUUUUGUUAUGAAAAAUACGCAAAAUGAGAGAGCUCUGAUACCACUUAAGGAAAUCAUUUUAGAUGCAUAACAACUAAUCGCAGCGGAAAUACGAUUACUUCUAACUUCCUAAACUGACUCGCAUGCAUAUAAAUCAAUAACAAAGGUUUUCACAAUUUAGCGUGAUUACUAGCUCGACGACUAGUACUUGCUGAACCUUUUAGAUCGAUUGCGACUUAUGAGAGCUUAACGUGUAGAUCCUCUACUUAGUCCACACUAGUUGGGUUCUGGAUCUCCUUCGUCAACGCCUGCUAGAACGCUUGAUCGAAGAACGAACUUUUAGAGAGUUUGGUGGCUAGAGUUUUCUAUCUAUCGGCGUCUGAGGGCUUCAGGCUUCGAAGAAAUUGUUACAGCUAACAGUCUAUUUAUAGAGUUUCUCAUAAACCCUAAAACCUAUUGAUCCGGUCCAUACUAUAAGCGUGUGACCUUAUAGGACCUGGUCCGAUUAGCCGUGACCCAAACCACUAAUUAAUAAUGACCUCUAACAAGAUGUGUUAACUCCUAACCAGCCCGAAUUAAUUCCGAUUAAUUAGGUCCAACAAUUUAUUAAUUUUUAUGCGUAUUUGAGCUGAAGGACAUAAAUCCUUCAUAAAAACUCCGCAUAAAAUAAGGUCGAGUAGGCAUACAAUUGAGUGAAACGACCUCAAAAAUCUGGUUCCGAAAUGAUACAGUCCUCAAUUGAGGAAAAUGACGCCAUCGGAAUAUUGACCAAAUCCAAUUGCAACUGCAUGGGAGUCUCGACAGGAACACUGAAAAGUCCUAACAUCCAUUAAUAAUGACAUCACUCACCUCCAAUCCUUAUAGUCCUAGCGGAAUCUCUCCCUCCACCCAACUUCGUAAAGAAUCAAGCCCCACCCCCGUGUCGUCCCAAAGGUGAUGUUUUCACCUGUGCCAAUUUGCUACACAAACCACCGUUCCAAGUUAUGAUAAGGUAAGAUACCCUUCCAAUGUGGCGAGUCGCUCUUCCACUACGGGCCUCUCGGAUGUCGCCAUACUUGGCAGUGUAAAUAUAAUUCCACACGGAGUUUCGUUUGGACGCCAUCUGUCAAACUAAUUUGUUGAGGUGAGCCACAGUAGCAAGCCUCAUUUGCCUUACUGCGAGGCCGCCUUGAUUCUCCGGUUGACAAAUACACUCCCAAUUAACCAGAAAGUGGAUAUCCUUUAUCACGCGGCCAUAUACCAAAAGAACCUUAAAAUACCGCCCAAGGUUUUCCGAGAUUUUGGAGCCCAUGCAACUUAUCAUACCGUGGUUCAACUCUGAAAACCAAUGACAUUUUUUAAAUGGUUUUUAAAAAUGGGCUUACGAUUGAGAUUUGUAGGUUUUCAAAUUAAGGGCUUAAGUUUGGGCCAGGGCGAGAGAAAGCCAGAGCCGAAAGUUGCAACAAGAUCCACUCGCCCAGCAGAAGCCCAAAUAGUUCACAGUACGGAUUGAGAUUUUGCAAUUCUCCAUAGCCGUCGGAAGGAGAAGGAGAAAUUGAUGAACUGAGAGAGUCGAGAGAUCGGCAGUAGCAUAUACACGACUCUAGGUCAUUCUUUCUUCGGCCUGGUUUUACGCUUUUACUUUCUAACUAUACCUACUUCUUUCUCACUUCUUCUGCUGUACUGAAAGUAUUGUUGGGUAAGAGAUUUACAUUUUCUAGGGUUUUUGGAGUCCGGCGAAGAAAGAAGAAGAAAUGGGUUUCUCAAUGCAGCCGUACGGUAUACAAUCAAUGCUGAAGGAGGGGCACAAGCAUCUCUCCGGUCUAGACGAAGCCGUCAUCAAGAACAUCGACGCUUGCAAGCAGCUCUCCACCAUCACCCGCACCUCCCUCGGCCCUAAUGGUACCCAACCAACUUCCCCUCUCAUGUCGCUGCAAGUGAUAGAUGUUAAAGUGUUGGGUUUUUCGACUUUGGAUCUCUUGAUUUGGGUGGGUGACUUUUGUUUGUUUCUGUUUAGGUAUGAAUAAAAUGGUUAUCAACCAUCUGGACAAGCUUUUUGUCACCAACGAUGCCGCAACCAUUGUAAACGAGCUUGAAGUUCAGCAUCCUGCUGCCAAGAUUUUGGUACUGGCUGCGAAGGCCCAGCAGGAAGAAAUAGGCGAUGGAGCUAACUUGACCAUCUCUUUUGCCGGUGAGCUCCUUCAGAAUGCUGAAGAGCUUAUCAGGAUGGGCCUUCAUCCUAGUGAGAUCAUCAGUGGCUACACCAAGGCCAUUGCCAAGGUACCUAACUACCACUCUAUUAGCACCACCGCAAAUACAUGUGUGUUGAGUGCUAACUUAAUAUGAGUUUUGAAUUCCCCAGGCGAUUGAAAUAUUGGAUGAAUUGGUAGAGAAAGGUUCUGAAACAAUGGAUGUCAGGGACAAGGACCAAGUUGUUUCUCGCAUGAGGGCUGCUGUUGCUAGCAAGCAAUUUGGACAAGAAGAUAUCUUGUGCAGUCUUAUAGCUGAUGUGAGUAUACUAUUCAGAACCUGAUUCCUUAUCCAUUUCAUUUUCAGUGUAUUGUUUCCUUGACUUCUCCAUUGCUUGCUUGCACUGUAGGCCUGCAUACAAGUUGUUCCCAAGAACCCAGCAAGCUUCAAUGUGGAUAAUGUCCGUGUUGCAAAGCUUGUUGGAGGAGGUCUGAACAACAGUACCAUAGUUCGUGGAAUGGUAUUGAAAAGUGAUGCUGUUGGUACAAUAAAGAAAAUAGAGCAGGCCAAGGUGAACAAAUUGCUUGUUCUCCUUGAUCUUUUUUGCCAUAUAAGAUUGUACCUUCUAUUUUGAAUGUUCACUGCCUUCAAGUCAUGAAUGAAGCUUAUCCUUGUCUCUUAUUUAUAAUGAUUAAGUUGAACCAUCCUCUUAUGUUUUUGCAUUCUUAAAUGCAUCUAUAGGUUGCUGUAUUUGUUGGCGGUGUUGAUACAUCUGCAACUGAGACAAAAGGAACUGUCCUAAUUAACACCGCUGAGCAGGUAUAUAUAUAUGCAUUGUUUUCUGGGAGGAGUUACUGUGGUUAAUUCCUUCACUGCUACAGACUUGUGAUACAAAUGCUGUUUUUUGUGGAUUGACAAUGUUCUUGGUCUUGCAGCUACAAAAUUAUGCAAAAACUGAAGAAGCUAAAGUUGAGGAGCUUAUCAAGGCGGUCGCUGAUUCUGGUGCUAAAGUUAUUGUCAGCGGUGGAUCUGUUGGAGAGAUGGCCCUACAUUUCUGCGAACGAUACAAGUAAGCUCUUACUAUAUCUCUCGCCAAGCUUCUCAUCUCAUUACUUUGUCAAUACUGGUUACUGGAGAAUUUUUUUCCCCAUAGCUUUGCAAUGCUUUCACUUCUAAUUUAUCCUGCUCUAACUUUCAGGCUCAUGGUUUUGAAGAUUAGUUCAAAAUUUGAAUUGAGACGAUUUUGUCGCACUACUGGUUCUAUUGCAAUGGUAUGUUCAUUUAAUGGGAGUUCUCUUUAGUCGCAGACUGCCGCUGAUUUGUCUGCUUUUUGCAACAGUUGAAGCUUAGCGCACCAAAUCCAGAUGAUUUAGGACAUGUGGAUUCUGUUUCAGUUGAGGAGAUUGGUGGAGCAAGGGUAUGUUCAGCAAUGAUGUGUAAUCAUAAUAUGCAAAUUUUAAAAUUGACUAGUUGUUACUAAAAUAACUAAGCUUGUAACUGAUCACUUGGUUUAUUAUGCAGGUCACUAUUGUGAGAAAUGAAGAAGGCGGAAACUCAAUCAGUACUGUUGUCUUGCGAGGAAGCACUGAAAGUAUAUUGGAUGAUCUUGAAAGAGCUGUUGAUGAUGGAGUUAAUACCUACAAAGUAAACAUACUAAAACUCUCUUUUUGGCUGUUUGUAUGGUACAUCGACUCUGCAACCACACGAAAAUUUUGGUGAACCUGUGUUUAUCUGACAGUGGCGCGACAGGAACAUUAUCCUUAAGUUCUGAACAAAUUUCUUGUUGGUUUAAAAUAUUUACUCCUUAAUAUUUUUCUUCUGGAUGCUAACACUUAUAUUCUCAAUAUAAAUUUCAUUGAAGCUCUAUUAACCCUUUAUUCUUAAAUUUCGUGUCUUUUCUUUGCAUCAGGCAAUGUGCAGAGAUAGUCGCACAGUACCUGGAGCAGCAGCUACUGAAAUUGAGUUAGCUAGACGAGUGAAGGAGUUCUCGUUUAAAGAAACAGGGUAAGUAUUUGUUUUUUUGUUUUAGUUUUAUUUGGAACGGUUUCCGUGAUUCCCAAAGUUGGAGAUUUCUAUCACUGCUCUCUGAGAGGUUGAUGAUGGAGACAAAACUUCAACAAGCUUAUGAUUUUUUCUGUGUGAUGGCUCGCAGAUUGGAUCAGUAUGCCAUUGCAAAGUUUGCAGAAAGUUUUGAGAUGGUUCCAAACACACUUGCUGAGAACGCCGGCCUUGAUGCAAUGGAGAUAAUAUCUUCUCUUUAUGCUGAACAUGCAUCUGGAAAUGCAAAAGUAGGCAUCGACUUAGAGGAAGGUGUUUGCAAGGAUGUAACGGUGACAAAUGUCUGGGACCUCCACGUGACCAAGUAUGUGUCUCGUUUACCUGUUUUCCUGCUUAUACAUGGUUUUAACUGCAUUUAUUUUUUUCUAAUAGUUAUCGUCUGCUUAAAAGCAGUUGAUAUGGUAUUCCCAAACUUAUUAAUUGUUGGCCAUAUGCCUAUAGGUAUUUUGCCCUCAAAUAUGCUGCUGAUGCUGCCUGCACUGUGUUGCGAGUAGAUCAGGUAUGUUGGCUUUUCUUUGCAUACAAAUGAAAAAAACUGUCCUAGUUGUAAGUUGUUCUAGGUCAUGUUGACCAAUAUUGAGUCUGUUCGGUUGCAUGCUGUGGUUACAGAUUAUAAUGGCGAAACAAGCAGGUGGGCCGAGGAGAGACCAAGCUGCAGCAGCAGGAGCAGGAAUGGAUGAAGACUAGUUUACUGUUUUGCAUCAUCUCAUCAUAAUUUCAGUUUUGUCUUCUUUUUGUUUGUACCAUCUUAUCCACAGCACACUAAGGGUAAGGAGCCCUGGAGGAAUCUCUAUAGAUAGAACUUUGUAGCUGCAAGGAUGUUGCUACUUACCCUUAAACACAGUUUUGCUGUAUAUUUAAGCAUUGUCAGGUGAUGUGAGAGGUGUGCAUGUGAAACCUUUCCCUCAAAGGAAGGUUCUCAAGCUUAUGUGGUGUUUCUUUCUAGUUUCUACAUUGGAGUGGCUUUUUAUUAUCUUAUCGCAAUGGAGUUUUUGUGUGAUGGUAGUCAUAGAAAUCCUGCAAACGAAUGGUCCAUAAAGAAGAUAAAAUUAGUGUUGAUAAAUUGAAAAGGUACAAACUUGGAGCCAUAGAAUUGAUUACCAAGUCUUGACAAAAAUAUAGUCUUGUCUGUAAGCGGAGUGAGGACGAUGAAUGUGCGAGUGUAAGCAGCUAAACGUAGUGGGUUUUCUUCCACUUUGCCAUCUUCCAUGGCUUCCCUUUUUCCCUUUUCACUUCCCAAACCAGGUAUAGUCAGAGCCACUUCACUCUCUACAACCACUUCCAUUCCCACUUCAGACAGUGGUGAUGUUGAUACUGGGGCUGGCGGGGGCACACUUGAAGAAAGGUUUGGGAGAAAGGGAAUCAAGUUCUCUGAAACCAGCAAUAAUGUCCCACUUGUUGAACUGACUGUCAGAAAUGGCAGCUCUCUGAAGCUCCAGGUUCCAGAUGCUCAUAUCACGUCCUACUUGCCCAAAGUCUACUGGAAGGAUGAUGGGUUUGAGGAAGUUCUCUACACAAUUCCACCCAUUGGCGAUGGAAAGAAAUCCAAAGGCGGAAUCGGUUUGGUUGUCUAUGAUGUCUCUCAACCGAAACCUUCCCUUCUCACAGGUUCUGAAUGGUCUGUAAAGGCAGUGGAUUCUGAUGCCAUUGAUGCUCUCCAGGUGACUUCUUCUUUCUCAAUCUCUUCACAAGAGUUUGUUCCUCUUCUCAUGAGCUUGAAAAACUGUUCUUUGUGUGUCUGUGUGUGGAAAGGUUGAGUUGGAGUGCACAAUUGGGAAACUUCAGAUGACAUACGUUGUGACAUUGUAUCCAGUGAGUGUUGCCACAGCAGUAAUUGUGAAGAACAAUGGUCUGAAGCCAGCGACUCUGACAAGUGCUAUACUGAGUCACAUGAGAUUCAAAUAUAGAGGGAAGUCAGCAAUCCAAGGGCUUCGAGCAUGUACCUACUGCACGCACCCGCCAUUGUCUUCGCCUUUCGAGAUAAUCACCCCUGGUGAAGCGAUGAAGCCUGACUCCCCUAGACUCUUUGAUUUCUUCUUCGAACCAGAGGAGAAACCUGGCAUAUGGAAAGUUCAGGAUAUACCCUUCACAAUGCUUAACCACAGGCUUACGAGAAUCUAUGCUGCUCCACCAGAGGAGAGAUUGAAGCUAUUCUAUAACACUACACCAUCCAAAUUUGAGACACUUGAUCAGGUAUGAAUAGUUUAACUUCCUUUUUCUAAUUUGAUUGCUGGAAACUCAACUAACUGGUCAUGGAUCAUGAUUAUUGCAGGGAAGGGAGUUGUUCUUCAGGGUGAUAAGGAUGGGUUUUGAGGACAUAUAUUUGUGUAGUCCAGGUCCAUUCUCAGAGAAGUAUGGCGACGACAAACACCAUUUCAUCUGCACAGGACCUGCUGCAAUGCUGGUGCCUGUAGUUGUGGAACCUGGAGAACAGUGGAGGGGUGCUCAAGUUAUAGAGCAUGACAAUUUGUAGUCACUUACAGAACUACCAUCAAUCUUCUCUUUUUUGUUCCCUUCUGGAGUAAAUAUAAAUUGGAUGUUGUUUUCUUAGAUCAUCAUCUAGUUUUGAUCCAAUUGGAUUAGCAGCAUUCAAAGCACAUAGUUGGUUCUACACCUUUACUCUUAAUGAAAAGAACAUAAGUUUGAUUGCUGUAAAGAGGUGUAGUAUGGCUUCAAUCUGAACAUUGCAAAGCUUGCAAAUGAAAGAAGGAUAAGGCUUUAGCAAACGCUUGGCUAUCAAGUUGUACCCUACCAGUGUUAUCCAAUCUCAUCCCAUUACAUUUAAACAAAGGAUACUCAAAACAAUAAUUAAAAAUACCUGCAAGUUCCGGAUCUUCUUGUUGCUGCUUGUUAGAACAUUUGAUCAAGGAACAAACGAGCAACCAACACAAAUCUUGAGGGGGGCAGCAACAUCUAUAUAGAGUUUGCUCUAGUUUGUUUGUCAAUACAGAAGAUAAAGAAUACUUAUGUUUACCUGUUAGGCUUAGCAGUACAUUUAUAGAAUUGGUGUGACAAACCAUAAACCAAAACCCUUUUUCUAAACAGCAGUUAGCACGACUAACAUUCAACCGAAGAAGGCUUACAACAAUACAACGUCUGAGAAAAUACAAAGAAAAUUACUCAAAAUGCUAGGCUGCUACAGAAUGACGAUAUGACAACUAUGUCGGAGUAAGAAAUUGGCCUUGCUCAGAACCAUCAAACAAAAUCAAUGAUGCAAAACCUGAUAAAAUAGCCAAAACAAAGGUAACAAGUAACCUAGCAUCGCUUUUCCAAUACUGCUUCUUAAUGCUUUGGCUUUGCAAGUUGGAUUUCUUCUCGGCAGCAGCACCCGCUUUGCGGUUCAUGUCUGCAACUUCCACUGCGUUGCUAGUAACAUCAACUGUUGAUGAAACUGAUUCAGAUGCAUCCGCAUGUUUCUUCUCAACAACAUAUGACUCUUCAUUCUCAUUGGAGUCAUCGUUCCUGUCAAACUCCCUUUGGUUCAACUUUGAAGUUGGCCUGCUAUCGCAAUUGCAUGUGCACGGGCUUCUGAACCGCCUGCUAUUCUUCUCGUUAAAUUCCGGAUCGACAACAUUAGAAUCCUGUAGUGAGCGGAUGAGCUUCCUAGGGCUUGUGAAGAUGCUCAUGUUAUCGACAUUUAGGUGCGUACGUGACCUCUGAAUGUCAUAAGAAUAUAAUUAACAAGUGGUGAAAAUUGCAUCUAAUUAACAUAAAAUCAUUGGCACAAGUGGAGUAGCUAUCAUCUCAUUUAUAUAGUUAACUAAAUAUUUCAUUUUUCAGGCAUUUCCAACUAAAAUUCAUGAUUAAUGAUUACUAACGUCCAUGGAAAAGUACCUGAGGACUGGGUGUGCAGCUCCUAGGCAGCCCGUUUAUAGGACUUGUCGGCAAGAAGCCCGAAAACUCGGCAGCACGAGUUCCCUCAUAUUCAGUCGAGCUAUUAGUGAUAGGAGUUCCAUGAGUCAGUUGUGAAAAUAACCCAUCUUUAAGCGAAACAUCCCCCCUUCCAUUUUCAAGGCUCCAUAGCUUACGGUUGACACUCCUGCUGUCAUACUCACAGCCACAGUCAUACCCAAGGGCAUGAGAGACUGGAGUUCUUGUUAAAGGUGACUCAACCAUAGAGUCAUACUCCUCCAUGAAAGAGCCAAGAGUCUGCGACUCCGGACUGGACAGAUUUGUUCUCCUUCUAGAAUCCCUUUUACUGAAGUUAGACCCGGUGACAGAACCACCAGAACUCUUGUCAAACUUUGAUGCUUCGUCUGAAUAAAUUUUCUUUGCUGUUUGCAAAGCUUCAAAAGCAGCUCCUUUCACAAAUGCCAUCUGUUGAUCUGACUGACAUUUCUCCAUCUCCAGAAUGAUUAAAUCAAGCAUGGAGAAUACACUUCUCGGGUCCAAGCACUUCAUCAUGAAAUUGAUCAUUUGGAUAGCUGACAUACGCGUCUGGGAAUUACCGUCUUGCAAACCACCACCAGCAUUAUUCAGGAUGGACAAACCAGUCCGGAUCAACAACCUUGCAUAAGGUUCAACUAUCAAAGCAUUACGCUUUGAUAAAGCCAUAACCAAUCCCAUAUGGGAGUUAGAUUGUGUUGACUGCUCCUCAAGCGCCACAGCUACAUUCUGGCAGACUUUGUUCACCAUCUCAUCAGAAGCAAAUCUCCAAUUAUCAGAGUCCACAAGAGCCUUCAAGCAAAGGGCAGCCCCUGAGGUAAGACUUUCUUGAGCACCCAGAAGAGCUUCAACAAGAGGCUUGCAAAGGGAAUGAAUUAUGCGCCUCUUCUCGACUUCUGGAGUUGUGGGCUCGAUGCCAUACCUUGCAAUAGCAGGCACAACUUUGGAGCACGCCUGUUGGAGAGGGAAAGACACUGCACUUGCAGACAACGUCUUGAUGACAGUAGUCAUGAUACGGUCGAUUUGAGAAACAAUCUUGACUCCAUGGACACGGGCAAGGACUUCGUAAAGUGAGAUGGUGAAUUCUCCAGAUAUAGCACCAGUUUCUUUAGUCUCUGAAACCUGGGCAAGAAAAAUUGGAAUGGCCCUAGAAUCCAUGUCUUUGACGUAUGAUUUCAGCGCCUUCAUCGCUGAUUUCCGACUCUCGGCAUCUUUGUCAAGAUUUGCCAACUCUCUCUUCAAUGGACUCAGGCUCCUACCCAUUUCCCGAUCUGAAGACAUAGCAGCAUCAUAAAUAUAAAAAUCUUCAACAUUUCCAACACAGUCGUGAUAUCAACAAUGAUUAAACCAAUAAAAUGAACAUAAACAAUCAAGAAGGAUAAAUGUAUCAAAAGGUCAAUCCUUAACACACAUCAUAUAUGAACUUCUGAAGUAAACAAUCGAACGGGAAUCAAAGAAGGUAACUUUACAAAAACCCACCAAUCUCUACAGCGUUUCAGGCUACAGUAAGUCUGCAGGUAUCUUUUUGAAUCCUAUGAUCUGCUUAACACCGUCCAACGAAUGAAAUGGAGCGGAAAAAAGAUCGAAACUUUGAAGAAGUUUUUUAAACAGAGAGAAGGUACAAGAAAAUGUAUUUGCUUUACGUUCUGUGUUUGUUUUUCUGUCCGGAUGUACAGAGAACAGCGAGAUCUGUGUGCCUGUGUGGUGGUGGUAGUAGAGAGUAUUUAGGGUUUUGAAUAUUUUGAGUGUAUGGGAUCCAGAAAAUUUCAAACUGGGGGAUUGGGUGGGGUGGGAGCGGGAGUAUCCAAAUCCUUCCACGUAUAUGUCGUUACAUUUUGUCUUCUAUAUGGAUCCCGCCUUCCUCAACUUCAAAAUUCAAAUCUUUUGUGGUUGAUUACUUAAAUGGUCACUGAACUUUGGCCUUCAAAUGGUCACUAAACAAAAAAAAUCAGAGUGAUGUUGUAAUUUGUAACUAUUGAGGGCUAACCCCCUGCCGUCUACAAACAUCCAAUUUUUCCAUCCAAUUGCAUAUGUGGAGGUGCCAUGUCAGUAUCCACAUCAUUAUAAAGACCACAUCAUCACAAAACCAAUACAACCCCAACCGGAUCAGAAACAAUCCCUAAUCUAAUUCAAAAAUUAAACUCGAAGGGUCGUUUGGGUCGCUUGUUCCCAAAUCACUCGUUUGAACGCUUAAAUAAAAAAAUAUUUGAGAUGAUUUGAAAUCUCAUUAUGGGCCCGGAGAAAAUGUAGUGGGUGAUUUCAAAUCACCCUAAAAAAUAGAAAUUUAGGAGAAAUGGGAGAAUUUCUAAAAUAAUUAAGAAAAUAUUAAAAUUCAUGAAAAUAGCACAAAUAACAGUAAUUCUCACAUCAGAAAACACAAGUCUUAAACACUACUUCUCCAUCAAGCACAUGCUAAGGAUUCCAACACCAAUCAAACAUCAGAACAUUUGUAGAAUCACAUCCAUAAUUCCAGAUUAGAGAUGAACUGCAAAUGAUGAGAUGAAAUCAAUAAGGAAACUCAUCAUUCAAUUAUUUGAAACGUAUCUCGACCGAGGAAAGAACGCCUUUGUAUGCAUGAGUCGUAGGAGAUUUGUGUAGAUUGAGGCUUUUCGAUGGGUGCAUGUCGAUUUAAGAGUGAUUUCCGAUGAUAAUGAUGAUAGAAUGACAUGUAUUCUAUGAAGGUUAGGUUGGAUUAUAGGAGAUUAGCAAGGAAUCUAAGAUUUUAGGGCGUUUGGCGACUAGAAAAUAAGAGGCUUUCAAGAUUAGAGUUUUGUGAAUUUGGGAUGAAUGUGGAAAUAAAAUGACAGUGUAUGUGUGGCUUAAGUUUAAAACUAAAUUAUUUAUAUUGAACCUAAAACGGCGUUGUGUUGCGAACAGUUCGGAUAUGGGGUGGAUAGCUCAUUAUCCGUAACCGGCCGUCAUCCGAGUCACACGGGUUGCGGGUCUACCCAUCAUCGCCGAUAGUCUGUGGGUAAUGGGCACAAGCCUAAUCAAUUUAGACGGAUACCGACGGGUAACCAAACCGGAAGUGGUGUGGGGGAGGGCAUUGCCAAGUCUAGGGGAGAUUUGAAAAUUCUAACCAAAAUUACUCUAUAAAUUUUUCAAAAUUACGCAUGCUACUUGAUUAUAUUAUAGAACACUUUAUUAGUUUCUUUUCACAUUUUUUUUACUGAAACCUGCAAGAUAUUAUUAAUCUCAAUUAGGUCUUACAUCAUCCAGGUUGAGCUGCUCAAUAAGAACGAUAGGAGGAUGAUCCAUCCAGACAAUAGGAGUAUUCCAAUUAGUUAUAUUAUGCAUCAUAAUAUGGGCAGCUUCAUUAACUUCACGACAACCAUGAUUCCAAAUCCCGUGUCAAACUUAGUGAGCAACCCACUUUUAUUUCUAUAAAUAAUCCCCCAACUCAGUGAUGUUAUCAUCCGCAUUGUGUAAGCCCUGCAUCACCAUAAGAUUAUCACUUUCCCCAAGAACCUUAGUUAAUCGAUGGCUAAGAGCAAGCUGCAAUCCAAACUCCGUCGUAAUUGCUUCCGCCAUUUCCGGUGCCCAAAUCCCUUCGGUUCUCAUGACAGUUGCCAUAACAAAGUCUCUAUGGUAAUUCUGAAUAACUACAUCCGCCCUGUCCCCGAAGUACCGAAAAUCGCUGCAUCAGUAUUGAUUUUAUAGAAACCCAUUGGAGGCCGCAACCAUCUUUUGUUUCUCGCCAUCGUGUUCGCAUCUCCCUCCACAGUCUGAUUUGACCUGUAAGAAAGCAAAUACUAUGCAGCUUUCUGUUUAAUUUCAUUUUCCACAGGAACCACAACACCAUACACCAUUCUUCCAGCUCGCCAAUAGAGAAACGAGAUCCAAUCUUCUCAAGCUAGUCCCAACAGUCAAUCACAGCCCCUUGAUCGAAGAAGCGUUUCACCGGUGAUGAUCCCCAAACUCUAUGAGUCCAUUGGCAUUCAAGGAAAAGAUGGAUAUGAGAUUCGGGAAGUCCAAAAAAAGGACAUUCCUCUCUAGCUCGAUUACUCCGUCUGCACAAGUGGUUCUCAGUAGGGAGAACAUCCCGUAGGAAUUUUGAAAGAAAAUUCUUGACCUAGGGUGGCAACUUACGAGACCAAACACAAUUCUAAGUAGUUGCAGUAGCCAUCGAUUGAAUAUUAAACACCUCUUUAAAUUCAGAAAGCCACACCUGGUAACCAUCUGUAAUUGAAUGACGGCCAUUCCAGCUAAAGCUCCAAAUAAGACAAUCAGAUUCACCAAGAUUCCGAAGGAGAAUUUGCUCAAUAGUUGUCGCUAUUGCUGGUGGGAAGCAGCUUUCAAUAUGAGCAAUAUUCUAAUGUUCAGUUUCUAGGUCAACCAACUGUCUAAAAUUAGCACCAACCGGAAGCCCCAUGGUUGGGGAGGAGAUAAAGUUACCCGGAAUAGUUGGCAGCCAACAAUCUCCCCAAAUCUGAAUCGACGUCCCAUUACCCACUCUCCAACGAAGACCACGCCACAUGAACUCUUGAGCACUACAGAGGGUUCGCCAAAUAAAGCUUGGACGAUACCCCAAGUCGACUUAAAAAUUAAUAGACUUCCUGAAAUAUUUUUCUUCCAUAAUCUUAGCGAUAAGCAAGUCGGGUCUCAAAUGAAGAUUCCAUAAUUACUUAGCGAGAAGAGCUACAUUAAAACCCCUCAGAUCAUAGAAUCCCAUCCCAGCUUCCGCUUUCGGGCACACCAACUCCUCCCUAAGAACCCAAUGGAUACGACGUUGUCUCUCGUUAUCCCCACCAAAAACUCAUAAUAAGACUAUGAAUAUCAUCAAUAAUCCCAUCUAGCAACUUAAAAACUGUCAUAGCAUAGGUGAUCCGAGCUUGUGCCAUCAAUUUUAUCACGACCUCCUUAGCUGCAAUCGACAUCAUCUUCUCUUUCCAACCCUUAAACUUUUUCCGAACCCUUUCUUUAAGGUAGGAGAACAAUUUUUUCUUAGACCACCCAACUUCAGUAGAAACCCAUAUACUUAUCAUGCUUUUCCACCACCCUCAUUUCCAAAACAGAACUAAUUUAGAUGAUGGCUAACAUUUCAGGUGAAAGAAAUCUCUGAUUUCUUAAAAUUAAUCAUCUGUCGAGAUUCCAAUUUGUACUCCUUUAGGAUGUUCUUCACAAUAAUGCUUUCUUGAACAGAAGUCCUAGCAAAGAAAAUGCUAUCAUCUAUAAAAAAAAAUGAGAAACUAUAGGCGUUCUCAUUGCUGCUUUAAGACCAUGAAGAUUUUUAGAGGGAGCAGCUUUAGUAAUAGCAUAAGAGAGCCCUUCCGCACACAAAAGGAAAAGAUACGGUGAGAGCGGAUCCCCUUGACGAAGACCCCGUGAAGGAUCAAAAAGAAAAUUCCUGCACACACAUCAUAAUCCUAGCAGUUCACCUCUCAUCAAAACCAACUCGCCCAAUAAUACCUUCUAAAAAAGGUCAUUUGACUCUAUUAUAGGCUUUGGCUAUAUCAAUCUUAACUGCAAAAUAUCCUGUUUUUGUCUUAUUAAUCUUCGCCAUAGUAUGAAAGCUUUCAAAAGCCGCCAUAACAUUAUCAAUGAUAAAUCUUCCCAACACAAAAACACUAUGUUCCGGAGAAACAACCUUAUCAUAGUAACCUUCAACCUGUUCCGGAGAAACAACUUUAUCAUAGUAACCUUCAACCUGUUAGCAAGAGUUUUAGCAACCAGCUUAUAGAAAAAAUUACAGAGACUGAUAGGCCUAAACUCUUUAGGGGAAUUCGGUACUUUCACUUUCGGAAUUAAAGCAGUGAGAGUCUAAUCAAGCUCUACCGGAAUAACAUCACUCUCUAAAAUAUUGAUAACGAUGGAACGCACAUCAUCACCAAUGAUAUUCCAGUACUUCCUGUAGAAAAAAACCGACAUCCCAUCCGCACCUGGCGAGUUUUGAGCACCCAUUUGAUUAAGUGCUACAAACACUUCAUCUCCGGUAAAAGGGCAACACAGAAAACUAUUAUCCUCGUGAGUGACCUUUUACGGUACUGCAUCCAAAAUCGGAGAGGUUGGAGGAAUAGAACCCGCCUAAAAAGGAGAAACAAACCAAUUAAUAAGGCAGCCCUCCACCUCCUUCUGUCCUGUAAACCACUUCCUAGAAUCAUCUUCGACUUUUUCACUGUAUUACGGCUUCGACGGGCGGAAGCCUUUUAUGCAAAACAUAUGUAUUCCUAUCUUCCUCCUUUAGCUAAUCCGUCGUGGUACGUUGUUUCUAGUACAUCUCUUCAUUUUCUUCCAAGGUAUUCAAUUCCAAAUCCAGUUGGUGCCCCUGAUUUAAAAUCAAAUCUGACAUCGGGCUACGAUCCAGGGCUUUUAGAGCUCUUUGGAAUUUAUUUUGCUGAGCUGAAAACUGCAGGAAUAUAGCUCUGCUCAAAACAUCCAAACUUUCAAGACAGCUUGCUAAUUUAGAAUUAACCGCCGACAAAUCCAGAGACAUCAGCACACUCUUAAUGUUUAGCCCAAUAAGGAUCAAAACAAAAGGACCAUCCCCAUGUAAUUUCAAUAUCAUCAGACCCACGGGUAUGACACAAAAUUUGGGCGAUGAUCAGAACGGGAUCUAUCGAGAUUGAGCACCUGAUGAGUGCCAAAAGGGUCUAACCACUUUUGAUUAACGACAAAACGAUCCAUCCUCUCCUCUAUGAAAUCAUCAACCGAUUUUUUAUUGUCCAAAGUAAAAGGGUAAGCUUUAAAACCAAGAUCUUGUAAGCCACAAUCAGAAAGAAAAUUGUUAAACUCAUUGAUACUAGCCUCUGAAGAAACACCACCACCUAAUUUUUCAAACAAUGAGGCAAUCUGGUUGAAAUCUCCCCCGCAAAGCCACGGGCCACCCCAUUGAGAACAAAGACUACAAAGAAGGUCCCAAGUCUUCACUUUAUCCUUAAACUACGACCAUCCAUAUAGACACAUAAGACGCCAAUCAUCAAUACCACCUUUCGAGAUUUUGACAUCAAAAUGAUCAGCCGAUAUCGAUUGAAUCUCAAUAGUAACAUCUUCAUCCCACAAAAUACUGAAUCUCAAGAACACCCAAAGCGAAAAUUACAAUCAUUCUGCAAGACCAAGUUCUCCUCCACAGUAAGACGAGUCUCUAACAUGAAGAUCACUUGUGGGGAAAAUCAUUGAAUAUUUGAAUUUAAAGAUUUAACCGUUCCACUCUUGAUACACCCAAGGAAAUCAAUCCAAGGAUUGAUCCCAACACCCAAACUGUCAGGAACCUACAUAACCAUCAGCUAAGAGAUUUAAACUUUCUUGAUUUAGAAGUUAAUUUUUGCGAAUUAUCUUAGGCAUCUUAUUUGUUCUUCUUAAGUGUUCGAUUUUUCCAUCUUAAUUUGUUCAUCCUAAUUAGAUACUGGUUAUUUUGUAUAUUUUACCUAAAACGUACCAACUUAAACAUCAAUGAACACCCAAGACAUUCAUAUGAAAAGAUGUGCAAUGAAUUAGCCACGACAACGAACAACUCUAGGAAGUACUUCAUAGUAGAGUACUAUCAAAUGAUGAUCAGCUUGACUAAGGUUCAAAUUGGACUUAGCGCAAACUAUGAGUUAAUUUACAAGCUAUUUUUAAUUUUCAUAGAGUUAUUGGUCCAUAAAUUAGUUGAGUUAAUACCAAAUAAUAAUAUAAUUUUAAUGUGCAUAUAAAAUCUGAUCAAAUUUCAAUCAAACUAGCUAGUUUAUAUUUACUAGUCGGUACAGAUUACUAUUUAUUUGGAGGGGACAUGAUGACGAUUUAUUUAUUUGUAGGGAACAACUAUCCUAAUAAUAUUUAUUGUUACAGAUUGUCGGGACUUAGGAUUUAGUUAUAUAGAGAGGCUGAGACAUAGAACUGCAAACCCCGUGUACAUGCAACUAGCUACACAUGCUCUAUCUGGAGGAUGUCACGGUUCUUGGGCUUAUGCACGUAUUCAUCGACUUCCUUUACAGUGCCGUACUUUUUCACCUUGUUUGUCACAAGAUACUGCAAUUUAAGGAGCUGGCCAUUAAAAAUCUGGAUGGUUACUAUUUUUAUAUACAGAUUUGGGACACCUACACGGUAAGAGUCUUCUAAAUCUCUCCGACGAGAUUCAACUAAACAAAUCUCUUAUUUUAUAUUUCCCGAUUUUGUUAAGCAUGUGAAGAGACUGAUGAUGAUCAUCAAACGUGUGAUAAGAAGUCACAAUUACUACCACCAGGGUAACUUUCUAUAUUACCGGCGUAACGAACACGUAUUCUACCACCGGGGUGCAAUUUUCAAAGAUACAUGCACGUUAGGCACGAAGAGAGUCAGAACAUUGAUGAUAUCAAUGUAUCACCGAUGAUCACCUCUGCUGGUACUGCUCCAUUUGAUUUAAUAGUAAAUUUUUGGCAUAAAAGCAAAAACAAAACAUUAGCAACUAUGUUGCUGAAUCAAAAGGCAACAUUCUUAUGUGCGAUUGAUAUACUCGCAUUUGGAAUGAUCCUUGCAAAGUAGAGCGUACGAAGCAGAGUGUACCAGAGACCACUUCAUGUGCGUUCCACCCAUGCCUGAAAGACGUAGUAAAACCUCGGGGUUCGCAUCAAUGCAGAGGUUGGAGAAGUUAAGCCAUUUUCAGUGAGUUGAAGUUAUUGGGAAAGCAACUCAACCAAUGAUACAAUUAUUACUCUACAAAAAGAAAUAUGUUUUUGGACAAACACAAAAUAAAUAGCGGUACCCAAAAAGUUCUAUCUUUUGGAUAUAACUCUUUGUGGGAAGAAGACUUCUUCCACUUACAUCUAACAAUAUUAUCCCGUUUGACAUAUGUAAUAAUAAAACCUCACAGUUUCACAAGAAAAACGCAUGCACUUUAAUUUUCCUUCGAGCACCAUUGGCUUCUGUAAGACUUUUCUCCGUAACCUUAUGACAUUUGUUCCCUACAAAUAAAUAAAUUAUCAUCAAGCCCCCUACAAAUAAAUAGUCAUUUGUACCGACUAGUAAAUAUAAACUAACUAGUUUAAUUGAAAUUCAAAAGUCAUAAAAAUUCACAAAUUUCGAUGGGAAAAUGAAUAUUAACCAUUAUUUUUUGUUCAAAAUAUUUCCGAUUAAAAGUCCAAAUCCAUUUUAAGAAAACUUUCUCAAUCGCCAUUGAAGGUACCUCGACAAUUAUGAUUCUGAAAAAGACAGCUGCGAAAUAAGAAUCUAUUCUGAUAAAAUCAAUAUCAAUAUCAUCCUUGUCAUCGAGACGGAUGGCUUCAACGUGGAAAUUUGCGUGACAUAUGUGAAAAAGAGUAUUGAUCAUAAUCAGCAGAAAAUCAUCUUUGUCUGCUCCGACAUCCUACACACCUAGAAUAUCAGUAUCUUCUAAAACGUCAUCGUUGUGGUAGACCAACCCAAGAAAUAUGUCUUUGGACAAACACAAAAUAAAUGGCGGUAUCCAAAAAGUUAUAUCUUUUGGAUAUAAUUCUUUGUGGAAAGAAGACCUUCUUCCACUUACAUCUAACAAUAUUAUCCCUCUUGACAUUUGUAAUAGUAAAAUCUCACUGUUUCAUAAGAAAAAUGCCACUUUAAUUUUCCUUUAAGUAAAAUCCCUAAAAUUUAUUUAACUAAAUAUAGAAUAAGUAAACAAAAAUACAUUAAUAAAUAUUUUCUGGUUAUCUCACAAAUAGUUAACUCAUGAGAGUUAGCUAUUUCGAAUAAUCAUUAAGUUUGAAAUAUUUAGGUCUUCCUCAUCAAUUUUGAUUUUUUUAUUCGGUUCGGUCGCGUGCAACAUGGAAUGUAAACACUGUCUCUAUGUCCUCUAAUUCAAGUUGUAAAUCGGAAGAUUUGUUGGAUACAUACAAUUGACUAUUGUAUAGUCACGUGUCUCGAUGUCCACCUUCGAGUGUACUAACGGUACCACAACAUGUACUCGUCAUGGAAAUGCCACCUCUCCGGAUCAUCAACUGCAUCAGCCUCCUCCACGUGUCCCGAUCUAGUCUCCUACUGGCCAAUGUACUACUACAUCAUUGCAGCCAUAGGGUUCCCGUUUCUUUGCAUCAGUCCUUGCUAGAAGGUGACAUCGCCCUGCAACAUCUCCACACCGGGGAUGGGUUGGGCGAUCCUGAAUUUUCUGAGAAUGCGCUAUGGCCGAUGCGCCUAUAUGCUUUAAGGAGAAAUGAGCAGCGUGACAAUCUCAUUCAUCUUGAGACAUCACCGAAUCCCCACAUCGGUAAUAUGGGACCCAUUGAAAUAAUAAUAGUAUCACUCUUGACAUUUGUAAUAGUAAAACCUCAUUGUUUCAUAAGAAAAAUACAUGCAAUUUAAUUUUCCUUCGAGCACCAUUGGUUUCUGUAAGACUUUUCUUCUUAACCUUAUGACAUUUGUUCCCUACAAAUAAAUAAAUUAUCAUCAAGUCCCCUACAAAUAAAUAGUCAUUUGUACCAACUAGUAAAUAUAAACUAACUAUUUUAAUUGAAAUUCAAAAGUCAUAAAAAUUCAUAAAUUCAAAGGGAAAAUGAAUAUUAACCAUUAUUUUUGGUUCAAAAAAUUUCCCAUUCAAAGUCCAAAUCCAUUUGAAGAGAACUUUUUCAAUCGCCAUUGAAGGUACCUCGAUAAUUAUGAUUCUCAAAAAGAUAGUUGCGAAAUAAGAAUCUAUUCUGAUAAAAUCAAUAUCAAUAUCAUCCUUAUCAUCGAGACAGAUGGCUUCAAUGUGAAAAUUUGUGUGACAUAUGUGAAAAAGAGUCUUGAUCAUAAUCAGCAGAAAGUCGUCUUUGUCUACUCCGACAUCCUACACACCUAGAAUAUCAGUAUCUUCCAAACCUUCACUGUUGUGGAAGACCAACCCAAGAAAUAUGUCUUUGGACAAACACAAACACAAAAUUAAUGGCGGUACCCAAAAAGUUCUAUCUUUUGGAUAUAAGUCUUUGUGGGAAGAAGACUUCUUUCACUUACAUCUAACAAUAUUAUCCCUCUUGACAUUUGUAAUAGUAAAACCUCACCGUUUCAUAAGAAAAAUGCAUGCACUUUAAUUUUCUUUCGAGCACCAUUGGCUUCUGUAAGACUUUUCUUCUUAACCUUAUGACAUUUGUUCCCUACAAAUAAAUAGUCAUUUGUACCCACUAGUAAAUAUAAACUAAGUAGUUUAAUUGAAAUCCAAAAGUCAUAAAAAUUCAUAAAUUUCGAUGGGAAAAUAAAUAUUAACCAUUAUUUUUGGUUCAAAAUAUUCCCGAUUCAAAGUCCAAAUCCAUUUGAAGAGAACUUUCUCAAUCGCCAUUGAAGAUACCUCGACAAUUAUGAUUCUCAAAGAGACAUCUGCGAAAUAAGAAUCUAUUUUGAUAAAAUCAAUAUCAAUAUCAUCCUUGUCAUCGAGACGGAUGGCUUCAACGUGGAAAUUUGUGGACACACGUGAAAAGAAGUCUUGAUCAUAAUCAACAUAAAGUCGUCUUUGUCUACUCCGACAUCCUGCACACCUAGAAUAUCAGUAUCUUCCAAAACUUCAUUGUUGUGGUAGACCAACCGUAAGGAAAUAAGAUAUUUGGCCUUUCCUGGGAGUUCCUCAACCGUCUUCUUCACAUCCAUCACUAUGGCGGUGGCCCGAAAUGUUUUUAAAAUCUAUAUUUUGAACCUAUGUUUUAUGUUUCUGUUUUGUCCAAAUACAUAUUUCUUUUUAUAUAGUGAUAAUUCUAUCAUUUUUCUUCUUCACAAAUAAAAUAAUAAUAAGAAUAAUAUGAGAAAUUUAAAAUAACAAGAAUAAUCCAAUCUUUUUUUUUCUUAUAAAAAAUAGAUUUCAUUCCAUAAAGAACAUUAAGUGCGAUACAAGCUCUGCUCAUAAUUAGCAAGGAAAUAACAAGUGUUUGUGAGUACUCUACUUUUCAUGAAGUGUCAAAUCUCAUUGUCAAAGCCAAGCUUGCAAAGCAAAUAUACAACUAUAGCGUUUGCAACUACUUUAACAUCAUGACUCUAGGACCAAAAUUUCCAACAACAAAAGUUCAGCGACUAGAAACGUAAUAACUUAAUAAACAUAACUAAAACGGUGCAGCUUCAAUCAUCCUCCAACAAAUUCUCCCCUGAACUGAGCACCAGUUCAAACAGCCUUCCGCUCUUCUCAGUUCUUGCUUUCUGAAUUGAUUUCAGCAUAACCAAUCAUUCCAACUUCUCUUCUUAGUAGCUCAAAUGUUUCCAUCUUUAGUGCCUUUGUCAUAAUGUUUGCUACAUGUUCGUUUGUACGAUAAGAACUCCAGUUUUAUCACUCCUUCAUUUGCCAGCUCCUUUAGAAAAUGAAAUCUAACAUCUAUAUGCUUGCUUCUGAUGUGUAACACUGAAUUCUUUGAAAGCUUGAUGGCUGAGUUGUUAUCACACAAGAUAAUGGUUGAUGUUGCAAUGCUUUCCUACCAUUCAAUAUGCUCCAUUAUCCUUCUUAUCUAAACACAUUGUGUAGCAUAGUAACAUGUUGUCACAAAUUUUGCUUAUGUAGUUGAUAGGGUUACCAAUAGUUGUUUCUUGGAUGCCCAUGAAAUAACCCCUCUUGCCAAAAAAAGAGAUAACCACUUGUACUUUUCCUGUCAUCCAAGUCAACAACAUAAUUACUAUAUGUAUAUCCAAUCAAACUCUUCUCCGCCUUCUAUCUUCUGUAAUAGAUUCUAAAACUUAAAGUACCCUUGAGAUACCUCAGAACUCUCUUGGCAGCCAACAUGUGUUGCUUCGUGGGUGCUUCCAUAUAUCUAUUAGGACUGUAUACUGGGUACAUUAUAUCUAGAUGAGUUGUAGUCAUAUAUAGCAGGCUUCCAGUCAGAUAUUUGUACUUAGUGACAUUGAUAAGGUCUCCAUCUUCAGCUUUUGUCAACUUCGUACCUGGAACCAUAGGGUUCUUCAUAAAAUUACACUCCAUCAAGUUGAACUUGGUCAGGAUCUUCUUUGCAUACUUCAUUUGACCAAUAACGAUUCGAGCAGCAUUUUGAAUUACCUUCACUUCAAGAAAAUAUCACAUCUUUUUAAGGUCUGUCAUCUCAAAUUCAAUCUUCAUCAAUGCCUUAAACUCUUCAAGAAGCUGGUUGCUACUGGAUAUAUACAUCAAAUCAUCCACAUACAAACUCACUACCAAAAUAUUUGUGCCAACUCGUUUGAUGAACAGUGUAUGUUCAUGAAUGUUUCUCUUAAAACCAAAAUUGAGAAAAUAACUUUCAAUUCGACUAUACCAAGCUCUUGGAGCUUGCUUAAGACCAUAGAGAACUUUCUGGAGCUUAUAAGCCUUCAAUUCCUCCCCAACAACCAUCAAUCCUUGUAGCUGCUCAACAUACACAUCUUCAUAAAACUCUCCAUAGAGAAAAGCACUCUUAACAUCCAACUGAUAGACAGGAAAACCAUGAAAAGCAACAUAGGCUAGUAAGAUUCUAAUUGUAUCUCAACGAGAAACAAGAGAAAAUAUCUUAGUGUAGUCAAGGCCGUACUUGGAGUAGCCUUUAGCAACCAUCCUUGCUUUAUACUUGUAUACUAAUCCAUCCUCCUUUGUUCUGUAUAACCAUUUGACUCCUAAUGGAAUUGUACUUGGAAACUGGCUCAUCAAUGACCGAAGAAUACGAGCUUUCUACUUAUGAUUGUUACAAAUUGAAUUAUAAUUAAAUCGCUUUAGGUCGUUUGCCGAUGCGCGUAAUUGACGAUUAUACAAUUCGAACAAUUUUUAAUUCAACAAGCUAAAUCGGCAAAGACCUUUUAAUUAAUUUUUUUUGAGAAAUUAAAAUGGAAUUUGAAUUCAAUCUCUAAGAGGACCAAUAUAGUUUGUUCUAUUUGUCCUGUUGAAUACUUGUAAAAAUCCAAAAUCCCUACUUUUUCUUUCGUUUAGAAAAACGGUUGUAACAAUCCCAUUUUUUAAUUUUUAAAUUAAAAAUAGGUCAAUAGACCUAAAUCUGAAUUCUAUCUCUAUUAUUUUAUUUGAAUUCCAAAUGUCAAUUUUUUAAUUAAUACGUCAAAGUAAUCAACAGAAUUUGAGCUACUUCAAUUUACAUCCGUCAGAGUUUGAUUCAAAUAGAACCUAAUUAGAAAAAGUUGUUCCUGGUCGGAUCAACAAAAUUAUGAAAAAACAAUUCGACUUUUUGAUCGCGGGUUUUAACGUGCAAUGAAUUUUCCGGGUUCAAUACAUGGUUUUAUUUUACUCUCUCUAGGCUUAGUUCUUAUCUUAGGGUCUGGGGUAGUAUUACUUACUAACCCAAUUUAUUCUGCCUUUUCAUUGGGAAGUAUUCAACCGGACAAAUGACAGAUAGUUAGUUUCCAAGUACAAUUCCUGCGAAUAGCUUCCAUUUCUACUUGCAUGGUCACAUUCCAUUUUGAAUCAAGACUGGCAGCCUUAUAUGUCAAAGGAUCAUCUGAAACUGCCACUAUAGCCAGCCAAUCUGUAGUUAUCAGAUUGCAAUCAUAGUCUUCCAAAUAUGAUGGAGGUCUUCUCAUACGUUGACCAAGGCCAUCUCCAUCUUAUAUAGAGUCAGUAGGACUUUUAGUUGAGCUCUAUGUUGAUGAGCUAACAGGAGUAGUACUUCCAAAUUGCUGAGAAGCCAUUGGUUAAGAGUUUGUUGCCUCCACCUCUAACACAUCAUCCUCCCUUUCUUCAUCAGAAUCAUACAUGUCAUCCUUCUUUCCAUCCCAAAUUAGAUCAGUAAACACAGGUUGGGACUCAACCUCCCAAGGCUACCCUUUUGUUUCGUCAAAACAACAUCUCUACUACUACAACCUUCUUUGUAAGAGGAUUAUACAAUUUGUAGGCCUUUGAUUCAACUGAAAUUCCCCAAAAUUGACAUGUGACACUCUUACUAUCUAAUUUCUUCCUCCGCUAGUCAAGUACAUGGACAUAAGCAGUGCAACCAAACACCCUUAAGUGUGAGACUGAUGGUAAUUGAUAUGUCCAAAGCUCCUGCGGAGUUUUUCAUUUGUUUGCUGUUGUAGGACUUCUAUUGAAAAUAUGAGUAGUACCGACAAUAGCCUUAGGCCAAAAAACAACAGGAACUUUGCUAUCAUUCAUCAUACAUCUCACCAUAUUUAUUACUAUUCUGUUCUUCCUCUCUACAACUUCAUUUUGCAGAGGUGUAAAUUCCCACUUCAUCACAUAAAGUUCUAAAUUCAUGUAACAUGAACUUCCCUCCAUGAUCCGUUCUAAGACAAGCUAUAGAGAGACCAGUUUCUUUCUCCACUUGAGCUAUAUAUUUUUUGAAUAUUUCAAAGGUAUAUGACUUGCUCUCUAAGAAAUGCACCCAUAAUUUUCUACUGAAAUUAUCAAUGAUAGUCAAAAUAUACCUCUUUCCUCUGUUGGAUGAAGGAGUGAUAGGUCCAAACAGAUCAACAUGAAGUAACUUCAGUUCUGAUAUGCUCUCCAGUUACUUCUUUUAGAAAAUGAAUUCCUUUGUUGCUUUCCUACCAUGCAUGUCUGACAAACUCUUAUAUUGCCUUUAAGAGCAGGCAAAUCCUGCACCAACUUUUCUUUACUCAAAUCCAGCUGACUGCUUUAAUUCAGAUGACCAGACCUACAAUGUCACAACAACAAAGCAUCAUUUGAAGUCCCUUCUAUCUAUAGACACUUGAGAUCCUUCCUUCCAACUUUAGACUCCCUGAUGUCUACAUGUCAGAAAACCAUUAUGUUGGUUUUCAUUUGUGUUUCUAGCAGUAAUCCCUUCCUCUCAUGAACAAGCUUGCAAUAGCCAUCUGAAAAAGCUACUCCUUUUUCUUACAAUUGUCCAAAACUUAUUAGAUUUGUCUUUAAACCUGGCACAUAAAACAAAUCAUGCAUCACCAGUAAAACUUGAUUCAAAGAAAAUUUCAUUGUUCCUUUUCCAAUGGCAAUGAGCUUGAAACUAUUUUCAAGCCUCACACUAUAGUUAAAGUUGUUAUCAAUGAUUGUAAACCAGCUUCUGUCUCCACUCAUAUGAUUACUUCAGCAAGAAUCCAAGAACCACCAAUUCUGAUGGUUUUUCACUUCUUCCUCUUGAUCAACGGAUGUCGUCAGCAUGACAUCUUCCUUCAUAUCACCAUGUGAUCUAUCUUGUGUUGAAGCUUAGUCAUGGUAGGGUUGAUAGUUAGAAUAGUGAGCCAGUUGGUUUAAAUACCAUUCUGGACAUUCAUUUCUAUAAUGAUCAAGCUUAUGGUAUUUAAAAAAUUUCACUGACUCUUUACUCCACCCUCUACCUCCUCUUCCUCUUUCUCU
rnacentral:lncRNA from 1 species